GGGUGGAAUGGCGGUGAAAUUGCAGAGACGUACAGCUACAGUGAGACCGCGGAAAACGUCGAGAGACACAAGGCGUUGUUUUGGUGCGGUUGCCACGGGUGGUGUUGACCCGUCGUUACUGUCAGGCUCCUCCGCAGAGACUGAAGCGGUGAUCUCUCCUCCUCCGCCUCCUCCUCCUCUAAUCGCCGAUGAUCCUCUCCUCCUCGGAAAGUCAUCUGAAGCACUCUGUAGUAGUGGCGUAGCUUCGCCGUCGUCGACUGCGACUGUUACCACCGCCGAUGCCAUACUGAUGAUAAUAGUAGUAUUAGUUUCGCUUCUCCGGUUUGACUUUGACCUUCGCGCGAACUACAGCUGCUAAAGCAGCAAUACAAAAAACAAAAAAGGUUACAGACCAGCGGAGUGCAACGAAUAAUUGGAAAAUGAGGAGUGCCCAUCGCCAAGUAAUCCAUAACGAUUUUUUUAAAAAAAAAUCUUUGGUUUUCUUUAAUUACCGUUUAAAGUUUAAUUUGGUAAAUUAAAUAUGAUAAAAUGACCUGUUUCAUCCCUUACAUUUCACAAAAAUAUUCUUUUCGUCCCUCACUUUUAAAAUGAAGCAAUUUCGUCCCUGACAUUUAAAAAUUAAAACUAUUACAUCCUUGAACCCAAUUUUCAAUCUGAAUCAAACCACCUAUCAACCUGAUUACAAAUUUUGGAGGUAUAAUUGAUAGAUCACUUGGUUAACUCAACUUGAAUAUAACUCAACUUGAAUUCCUACAUUGUCAUUGUAUACACUGAUGGUUUUAUGUACCUACCAUAUCAUUUCAAUUUAAAUUUAAAUACCAAAUUUUGUAUUUAUGAUACACAUUUAGACUCGCAAGCGAAUAUACUAAUGGUGCAUGAAAAGAUUUACCCAAAAGAAAAACCCGACUAUUCCAAAACAAAUAAUGGCCUUUAUGUUAUAAUAUUUAUUUUUUUGGUUUAAUAAAUGUCAUGUGAAUAUGAUGAAAUUGACCGAAUGACCUAUCAAUUCUAUGUCCGAAAUUUAUUACUGGGUUAUUGGAUGGUUUGAUUCAGAUUGAAAAUUAGGUUCAGGGAUGUAAUAGCUUUAAUUUUUAAAUGUCAGGGAUGAAAUUGCUUCAUUUUAAAAGUGAGGGACGAAAAGAAUAUUUGUGUUAAAUGUGAGGGAUGAAACAUGUCAUUUUCCCAUUAAAUAUUGAUAAUUGAAUUUCGACUGAAUAAUCCGUAAUUCCAUAAUACUUAAAACUCUAGAAGCAAGUAAAAAAUAUUGAUUUAAAAUAAAUUAAGGCUCUAGAAUAAAUUUAACAUCAGUAUGUGAUAUUAUUAAAUAGUAUAUAAUAUCCUAUCUAACAUAAAAUUCGAUGAUAAUUUGGCUAGUAAUCGGAAUUUUAGAAAUCAAAUUUAAUAUUUAUUCUCAAACUAUUUUAAGAUUUUUUUUUAAAUUGGAUAUAAAUCGGUUUUAUCAAUAUCGAGAUGUAUAUUGGAUUGAUCUGUCUCGUUUGGCAAGUGAGUUUUUUGAGUGUUUGUCUAAAAUUUUACUGUAGAAGUUUUUAAAAAUUUUUUUGAAGUGUGUAAAUUUUUGAAUAUUUUGAAAUGUAUAGUUUAAAAACUUUUAAAAAAUUUGUGAGGUUAUUGUAGUUAAAAUUUUUAAAAAACUUGCAACAAAUAAACUUAACAAAAAACUUGUCUGCCAAACAAGGCCCGGUUUUCUUAGGAACUUUAAACCCUACAGGGAUAUUCCAUUCUUUUUUUUCAUUAAGUACUCCAGUUGGGCUCGAUGAAAAUGUUCUCUUCUUUCCUUCCUUACCCACAAACGAUUGAAAAUUUCGCACAUCUCAAGUUUCAAGUUCAAUUGUUGCAGUUGGUGGUUGCCAAUUUGAGAUUGACCCGUACUCAAAUAGAUAAAUUUUUUGGUAUCAUUUAAAAUUGUUAUAUUUGAAGACUUAUAUAAGAGUGCAACCGAAAAAUCAUAUCAUUUUGCAUCAUAAAAUUUAUUUUAGAGAUCGGAAAACAUUACCGCCACAUAUAGAUAGUUUACAGUAAUUUUUACAGAUCAUUCGUCAACAGCAAUUUUUUUUUCCUCUGAGCAUCCGGUAUCCCUAUUCUUUCGUGAGACUAAUCCGGAUUCGGUCCAGGGAGUGCCCUCAGAGUCCAACUCUUAUUCGAUGGUGAAAACUUGACCCAGAGCUUUUCAAGACGACACAUGCAGAAGUCGAAUUUGUGAUCUUUCAUUGACAUUAGUAACCUGCUUAUCAGUUGCCCCAAGCUUAGGGGUUGGCAACAGCAAUUUAUCAGACAAUGAAAGUUGAACUCGCAUGCUUUCAAAACUGCAGGACAAGUAGUUGUACAUUCUAUCAAGUUAAAAUAUUUUGCUGAAGAAAACAAUAUUAUUUUGCUGAAGAAUAUUUUCCCUUCAAAAGAUUUUACAGCGUACCAAACUGACCCCAGAUCUCAAGUAAUCUCACGUAAUUUGUUCGCAUGAAUUGAUUCCAAAUUAACUCCAGAGUUGAAGUCGAUCGUGCUAUUAAUAAAAGAGGAAAAGUCUAGAAAGACAAUAAGGUGGGAUAAUUAGACUGCUAGCAUAUAUUUUUGAAAAAGAACAUCCCAUUGUCAGCUAUCCUACCAGACUAAAAUAGCUCCAAACGCCCGGUUUCUGUAACGAGCCCCGUAAUCUUUUGAGCGGCAAUGUUCAGCGUAUCAAAGCUCUUGCAGAAGGCAAACCGUAUAUAUCUGCUCUGGUAGCUAAAUGUAGAUGAACAGGAGCUUUUGUGAAAGAAUCCGCUUCCUGGCACAGCUACCACCCCUGCUUGUUUGAUGAGUUGCUCCACAAAUUCAACCUGAAAUUGUAAAAUUGAUUAAUAGCUGCGGUCCACCCACCGAUGAAUCAAUUGCUGUGAUUUCUAGGGAGGUUACAUUUGGAAGACUGAUAAGGCACAAGUGAGAAUUUUUCAGAGGAAUUACAUAAAAUGCUUCUGGGCGAAGAUCAGGAUUCAAACUACAAAAAAUUUUGCCUUGUAGAAUAUGGAACAAGCAGAAAAUUGAUCCAUCAUGCUUUCACAAUGAGGUAAAUAGAUAAGAGUAUGUUACGAGGUGCCUACAUCAGAAAGAGUGCAGCUCUCAGGAAGCUCUGCAAACACGAAAACUGAACCCAUUGGCCUAAACUGCAUUGGGAAGCCAACCUUUACAAGCAACUCAUGAAUGAAAUCUCUUCUCGAUUGAUAGUCCUACGCAUCAGAACAUAGUUUAUUAGGAACAGACCACAACUUCCAGUACGUACAAGACCUUGAAAAGUGAGAUGUUGGAUCUUACCCUUCUCAAUGAAUCAAAGUAUUGAGGAGAACUUCUCAAAGCAGUCAAGGCUGCUUCCUGGAAAGGUGCUGGAGCACAAUCUGUAACUUUUACAUGGAUGUUUUGAAUCGCCAAUGCAAUCCUAGCCGGAGCAAUCGCCCAUCCAAUCCUCCAACCUAAAUAUUCACACCAUGACAGAGCAUAAGUGCACAUGUCCUCCUACCAGGCUGAGUAAUAGUAGCAAGAAUCAAUGAUUUAAGCAAUUCAUGAUAAUUCUAUGCAAGGGACCCGAAAAACGGGGAGAGACAGAGCAGACCAUCUGACUCUUGUCAACAAGGUAAAACAGCGGGCAGCAAUAAUGAACACCCAGGUAGGACAAUCAAUUUUUCACCUGUAACGCUAAAAGUUUUUGACAAUGAUGAUGUCACAAUGGUCCGCUUCUGCAUCUCUGGAAGUGAGGCAAGUGAUAUAUGCUUUUCAUUGUCAAAAGUUAUAUGCUCGUACACCUGAAGCGACAUUACAAAAUAGAAGUGAACAAAAUUGCAAAAGAUGUAGAGGAUAAAAUAAAGUUGGUCAACUACUAAUUAUUUACUCGUGAACCUAGAUUUCUCACCAAUAUAGACACAUGAUAUUAUAUCAGAAGCCAUUGUCUGGUAAUGAAAAAUGUUUACUUACUGAGAAAGGAUAAAUUAAGAAGACAAAUCAUUUGUCAAAGAAAUUCAUGUAGACAUAACUUUCAGUUGAUUCAACUAUAUCUGUGGAAAGUAUAGAACAAUAACCACGUAAAUAAGGACUAUGAUUCAUGCAUAAAGUUAAACCAGUUUCUAUGGAUAUUCAAAAACCUGAGAAUUCUAAAAUCAAAAUAGUAAACAUUCACAAGCACAUAGCCCAAAAUCAUUUUGUACAUGAAGCUCAAUCAGGCAAUUAGAUAUGCAACAUAAAAGGCAAGAAUGCCUCUUAGUGCCACAUUUGUGCCAAGAAAAAUCAUUUUGCACAUGAAGCUCAAAUCAGGCAAUUAUAAAAGGUUAUCAUACUUCAUCUGUAACAGCUAGAAUAUCCCAGGUUCUGCAAGCUCCAGCAAUAAUCUCAAGAUCAUCCUUGGUAAAAACUUUCCCUGUUGGGUUGUGAGGACUGUGCCACUUUGUAUCAGUCUCUUUUCUAAUGCAAUACAGGAUGCAUAAAUUCUUAAGAAUGAUGCUCAGUAAUAACUGGUCUGUUUUGCGCAACAGAACUCUACAAGGCAUGGUAUAUUAGAAAAAUAAAUGGUUCAAAAAUGACAAAUCUGAAUUUAUUUCAGGUCAAAUAAAUCUUCUUGCACCACUGAAAACCUACCAACUAAGAAAAGAAAUUCCUUUUCCACAGUCGUGUGGUGUGUUCUGUGAGGUUAUUUAAUUGAAUGAACGCAUACCUGUUGACCACUAGAGCUUUGGUCUUAGCAGUAAAUGAUUUUAUAAAUUUGUCUGGAUCAAGUUUCCAGCAUGGUGGAUCAAGGGGAACAUACACCUGUAGUUUAUAAUACAAUGAUGAGAAAUCAAUUGAGCACCAUCAGUCCAAAGCUGAUAAACCUGAAGGCAGAGAAGCUAUGGCAUAAAUUACUCUAAUUCCAUAUUUAACAAUAGCAUAUUACUAAUAACAAUAUGGGGAAGCUUACAGGGACUCCUCCGGCCAAUCUAAUACAAGUGUCAUAUGUCUCAUAUGAUGGAUCAAACAGUAUAACUUCAUCACCCUGAUCAAUUACUUGGGGGGAGAAACAAACAGAAAGAUAUUAUAGAUUUUAGCACCCAAUACUUCCAGGUUGACCGUUGUAAGAGAAAGAAAUUACAUAUAGUACACUUACUAGCAAACAUGGUUGCUGCAAAAGCCUCAGACUGGCCACAACAUAUAACUAUAUCUGUCAAAGGAUCAACGUCUAGGCCUUGCGUUUGUUUCAUUUUACAUGCCACAUACUCACAAAUUCCUUGAACGUGCCUUGAUUAAGAUUUGAGACAACUUUCAGUUUAUUAAGCUAGUACUGCUAUAGUACUAAUGCCAACCAAUGAAAUAGAUUUAAUAAAACAAUAAAAAAAGCGACCUGUACUGGUUGAAGUCAGAAUUGAUUGCAGAAAUGGCAGCCUCUUUGAUGUGAGAAGGAGCAGGGAAAUCCGGGAAACCUUGGGAAAGGUUGAUGGCGUUGCAGCGUUGGGCAAGCAAGGAUAAUUGUUGUAUGGGAGAGGGUGUUAUCGUCUUGGUCACAGCAGACAGCUUCUCCUCCAUGUCUAAUAUCUAAAUCUCCACUGCCAGUGCCUGUUGGCUUAGCUUUACCUCACCUUAUCAGCUUAUUGUUCCAGGUUGGUUGCCACUGCAGUUUGUCUUGGUUCUGCCAUUGAAUAACUCUUUCUAUUCCAAACACAACGUAGAGUUAGUUGCUUGCUAGUUGCUGCCACUUGGUGCCUGGUGCUCCUCCUUUGGACAUUGAAUUUUGUUAUUAUUAACUAUUUACCAUACUAACGAAUCAAAUUUAUAGCUAUGUGUUUUUGUCUUUUGGUUCUUUAGGUACUUUAAGCAUAGGAAACAAUUUUUCACUUACAGUUACAUCUCAUAAAGAUACGAUACAACUGUUACAUUUAAAGUUAUAGCUAUAUGUUUGCUUUAUUUGAUUGAUGCAUUGUAGUUAGAGUCCACAAUAUUUCAGUAAAUUCUUGAGGGAAUUGGUUACUCACAAGUAAUUGAAUUCCAAUUUUUAAUGGAUUUCGAAAAGGGUAAAGAAAACAGAUAAAGGUUCAUGACAGAAAAAUAACCAAAGGUGAACAUGUUAGAAAUUAAUAAUCUAAUGAUAAAAACGAAUGCAACAAACAAAUUUUUUCGAGUACGCACCUUUUAGUCAAGUAGUGCUUGAAAACAUCAAGAGCAAUAUGCUUCAAUGUCUUCAGAUACUACUGAAAUUACUAUUAAUCUAGCCCUAAGAAAAUCUUAUCAAUUUAGAAUGUCAAAAGUUCAGAUACAUUGGCAACAAUCGAAAGAUACAGCAUGUCUAGUUUUUAUCUCUGAUAGUACUCAUUAUUAAAGGGAUUGCAGAACAUUAAGUACUAACUUUAAUUUAUUAGAUAGUUUCCAAGUACAAUGCAACUAACAAUUUAAGCUUGAAGUUAAACUCAUGUUAAUCGAGUUCGAGCAACUAGAAGAUCUUGCUAAACCUGAGUUCAUGUUUCAAAGCUUAAUAAGCUGCUCCUCUUAAGAAUACAUCAUGCAACUCUGACAAAGCCAAAUAUGUACAAUCUAAUCCACUUCUAGCCUAUAAAAACACAUCUUAAACAUUACAGCUACAUUUGAGGAAUUGAGGAUUACGACUAGAAAUAGGAUGCCCGCUCAUCCCGCUUAGAAAAUUGUUAUUUCAAAUUAUCUAGGUCCAGCUCUCAGGAUGCCUACCCUUGCAUAUGUUUAUUCUUGUGUUACGUCAAGACAGAAUUGCAUAAGCGCUAGCCCCAAAGAGUCCCAGACUAUUUACAACAUCAAACACGAAGACAACUCUGUUGAGUAAAAUAUCAGGGUUUAACUAUAAAGUAGCAUAAACUCAGAAAUGACGAAACAAAUUAUAGUUCAACUCCAAAGAUUUAGUCUUUGCAAAAUGGACUAACAUAAAAGAUGACAUGAUCAUUCCAUUCUCACAAAGACUACUCCCCAAGUAACCUCUGGCAUUGAAAAAUAAAAAAACUGCAGAAAAUCACAAACAUAAGUAGGCACAUACAUCCAAGAAUUCCCAGUUCACUUCACUGCGUGAAAUACUACUAACUGGGCUUCUAUUAACAGUCAAAAAACACAAAUUCUUAAUUUCAGAUAGCAGCUUUUCUUCUAUGGUACGGAGAUGAAGACCAGGAGCAAUCAACUACAAAUGCAUGGGCUUACAGCAUGAGCAGGGGAAGAGGAUGUGGACUUACAAAGUGGACAGCUUUACUCCUUAUUCCGAUCUCAUUAUUCUUUUAUCGUCUUCUUCUUGUUCACCUUUUAUCCCAGUUUGUGUUUCUACGAGUCUCGUACAAAUAGAUGAUGCUGAUGAUAAAGCUUUUCACCUACCUGUCCUCGUGCGACACCGCUUGGAUCCUCGGUGACAUGUUUCUCUAUGCCAACCCAAUGCCACCUAUAAUAUUGCGUCAAGUGUCCUGUUAUUAUUUACACUUGUAUUAAACCAAAUCAAGUUGAAUUAUUAGAAAAUUAAAGUGUAAAUAAUAACAGGACACUUGACGCAAUAUUAUAGGUGAUAUUGGAUUGGCAUAGAGAAAAAUGUCACCGAGGAUCCCAAGUGAUGCGACACCUUUCUCCUGGGAUGAUUUCAGAAACCUCCCUUCAAGUUUCCAACAAUUUCAUUUGGCUCCCAUCAAGUUUAAAAAAUUAUACUUACCUCCCUUGACAUAGUAAAAUACUUAUAAUGCCAUCCAUUAGGUAGACAAUGUUAAAUUUAAGACAAUAAAUUUGUAAAACUAAAAACAAAAUCUAUUUUUCCGUCUCUUAUCUAUUUUCACUCCUUUCGUUUCUAGUUAAUACAACGUCUUUUUGUUAUCUUCGAUUUUGUGGAUAUUAACAAACUGAAAUUACAAAAUCAACAGAAAGAGCAAAUUAUGUGUUAAACUAGAAGAAAAUGAAGAGAUUCUUGGAUGUAAGUGCAAUGAAGAAAUUAUGACAAAUUACACAUCUUUAGCUUUUUUUCCUGUUUCAAUCAUCAAUUUCAUUGUUGGAUGAGAUGUAAAUGCAAUAAAAAGAAAUUGCAGCAAAUAAGUAAUUUUACAAUUUUGCAAUGAUUAAUAUUCGAACUCUUGGAUUGUAAGGGGCAACAAGACAACAAGAUAAGAAACACAAGUUUAAGAGCAAAAGGAGCAACUUAAAAAGGAAAUUAGUAGAAGAUAUUGUAGCAAAUCAUAAUAAAUUCUAAUAUUAAAAGGCACUCUUAUAAUUCAUCAACAUCAUUAAUAUAAAGAAUCAAUAUUAUAGAUUACAAUAGAAAAGCGACAAUCAGGAUUUUGAAAUGCAAAAGAAAUCUAAAUAAGCUAUAUUUGCUUCUAAUAUCUUGCCCUUUUUAUUCCUUUUUAUUUCUUUUUCCUUUAUCCUCUGCAUAUUUGCAUAAUAUCAAUUUUUUUUUUUGUGUGUAUGAUUUUCAGAAUGGCCUCAAUUUGGACAUGUAACAUUGGUGUUGCUAUAUCAUUUUCAAAUGGGCCUUGACUUGGGGUCUUGUAAUAUUUUCCUUCAUCAUUCGUGUAACAUUUUCUUGAAAUGAAAUUACUCGUUAGUUUGGUUUUCAAGGCAUUGAACUUUGGCAAGUGGCUUGACAUUCAGGAAAUGAAAUUUGAGGAAUUUGAUGAAGACACGAGUGAAACUUCAAACAAGUCAAAAUCAGCCGUAACAAAACUAUCGCCACAAUUCACCUUUGAGUGGAGAGGAAAAAAAAAAAGAGAACACCUUAAGAACGUAGACUACUUACUUUUGGGAAAUCUUCUGCAAAAAUCCUGCAAUUUCUUGAUCGAUGUGAACUUUAUUGGUUGUGCCCAAGACCAAAAACACACCAAAAUUGUCCACUAUUAUUCUUAUACGUGUGCAUUAACUUCAAAAAUUGGUUAAUUUCAGCUCAAGAUAACAAAGGAACAUUAACCAAAAAAAGCUGCACUUAAAUUAUUACCAAACAAGUUCGUUGCAAACACUCAGCCCAAAAUUGGCACUUUAUAUACAAGGCAGAGCAAAUCUUUACAGCUGAAAAGUGGCUUCAACAUAGUAUAUUUAUAUUUUCUAGUAUAUGUACAUUAAUCUUCCAGCCCCAAGUUUGUGAAUCAGCGGUACAAGAGCUGGACUUGAGAGAAUGUUACAUAGAAUUGCAAGUCAACCUGCUACAAGCGCCAAAUUCCUGGUGCCUCAGUGCGCAGCAGCGAGACCAUCUCUUCAUACUUUGAAGGGUAUAUAAAACCCCAUAACUGCGUAAAACAUGAAGCAGUAUUCCAUCAUUUGGUGUUCUACUGGACAGUAAUAAUUCCGUAAUCUUGCCCCAUGGGAGAGACAGACAUACCAACUCAACUUGAGGUGGGCAACUAAGCUUAAUCAAUCAGAUCAAAUCAAUGAAAGACGUUCAGACAUGAAUACAACAAAUGUGAGCGUGAAUAGGAGGGGGGAUGGGAGUACCUCAACUUCCUUCACAUCAAAAUCUUGGGUGUGUGCUAGACAAGAGUUUCCAUAAGUUUCUGAAGCUGAACUAGAUCCGGUCAAUCUAGAAAACCCAGAUUGAAGAUUAGACACAUAAUCACAUGUGUCAGGGAAGAAAGAUAAUUUUGCAGCUGUUAAUGGUGUAUUUUGGAUCUAUGUGACCAGUAAGCUAACUGCCAGAUAGAGGGGGAAACUAGAAGUGAAGCAAUCACAAGUAUAUAUGGUGAGUAGAAAACUCACAGAUCGCCAUCCAAGUACAGAGCAAAAUGACUGCCACCACCCAGAGCUAAAUACUCAGGCGAGCACAAGGUGAAAUAGCGGUUCAUACCUGCUUGGCAUAGAUGGCAUAGAUGGCAUUUUAAAACAAUCAACCUCAAAGAUACACAAACUAACCUGCAUUAAAAAAAUGAAAAAAAAAAAAGGACCAACAAAGGAAAAGAUUGAUAGGAAUAAAUUGAACUAGAUGCGGCAAUCUUUCAAUGAUUCUAUCAAUAUCCAUAAAGCCAGGCACAAGACAACACAGCUGCAAUUCAAUGUUGUAGGUCUACUAAAGCUAAUUGCUUUACUCAGCCAUAUUAUAACUACCAUAUCAUUCCAAAAAAAGAAAGAUGCCCUAUGUUCUCUAGUUUUAUAUUGUCCUUUUGACACUAGGGUAAAGACAACUUAUGUAGUAAGAAGAUGAAAAGUUUAACUCAAGCAGCAGUAGUUUGGCUAGAAAAAUGUCAAGGGCAUGCACCAUUUGAUCUCAGAAGCUCAAAAUGAAAUGUCAGUCAUCUGGUGCUUUUAAAUUACAGAUACUUCCCUUGUUAGCCUUUUCAAGUUACUCACUAUUUUACCCCUCCAAUCUAAUUUCACUAAACUCUCCAUCAUAGAAAAGGUUGACAUCGGAAUCGAGGAAAAAUUUACAUGAAAGGAUAAGAAACCUGAAUGAAAUUUAUCAUAAGUACGAAAAACAGAGGUCUAUAAUAUGGAAAACCUCAUCAAAGACGGGAAAAAUAUACCCCUAAAAAUAUUUGGACAGAGUCAAAGCGUCCUGCCAGUGGUCAUCAGCUUUUCAGUAGAAGAAGUAUUAUUCAACUAGAUAACUAAACUCUAAUUAAUGCAUUAAUAAAUCAAAACAAACAAAAAGUUACAUAUCUCUUCAGAAGUUUCUAAAAUAUGGCAGCCCAAAAAGCAAUAUUAAUACCUGUGGGAUGGAAAAUUGCAGGAUCACCAGAUAUGUUUGUGAAAACAAAUGAAUUAUUGCUGCCCUGUUUCAAAUUGAAUGCUGUCUUAAAAUGACAUAGACAAAAUAGUAUUUGGUGCUAAGAUACCGAACAUAUGAGGUCAUUCAUCCCACCUGAUAUCUUUUCUUGCUUGUAGCUCUUAAGGGUGCCUCAACUAAACCACCAAAUACAGCACCCUUGCGGUCUCCCACAACCUAAAUAAUCAGGUUGAGAUUGUGAGAGAGACAGAGACAGAGACAGAGACAGAGACAGAGACUUUAAAACUGAUUAUGGUGACAUGUAAAUGACACUCAUAGUCCAACAGUUUAAUAAUUUGCACAAAUGAGGUCCACGAAUCCAUUUUGCAGCUUCUUGCAGUUACAUGCAUAGAAAAUAUUUUCACUAAAAUAGCCCAGUUGCAUUAAUUUUGUGUAUAUGAAAUCCUCAAAUUUAGCAAAAAUAACUAGUACAAGAACCAGAAUCAGACUCUCCUAGUACCAAAUAAGGUGGAAUAUAUGAUACCUAACAAAUUAAUAAAUCUACAUUUACAUACACAUUUAGCAUUUAUAUGUCGACCCGUGUUCAUGGUGAGGUCUGUAUACAAAAAGAGAGUGUGCUUGUGUGUGUCUGUGUGUUUCUGCAACAAAUGAAAUAAAAGGAGGGGAUAAUAGUUUAACUAAAUCCAGAUUUUUCUCGAAACACUAAUUUUAAAACAAAAAACAAUGGAUGCAAAUUACAGUGGAUAGACUAAAGCCUUCAGCUAACAAACAUAACAUAUAACUCAAGUAUUCUCAAAAGGUCCACCAGGUGGCAGGCCAAUCAACAGCUAAGUUUAGACAUCAUCCAUGCUUAUGUGCCAUGAAUUGUAUAAAUAGUUUCAAGUAUAGCACAAACAACAAGCAAAGUUCUGAGUUAUAGGCCCAAUUACCAGCAAACUGAGACCAGGCCAAAGCAUGCUUCUUCUAUAUAAAGUUGAAAGUGAUAUACCAUGUCUCCAUGUACUGCAGAAGGCAGAAUACUGAAAUUAAAUAUUCUAUAAUGUGAAUAGCCAACAAAAAAGCCAGAUAUCUUCUUAAAAUUCAAAAAGGUUAUUUAUAUCUUGUAAUAAUAUGAUUCUAUGUUCUUGCACCUGUAUAAUAACAACCAUUUCCUCCCCUGAACAAGAACAGGCAUAGAAGCAAAUAGAACGCUUCGAGUCUUUUCAGAGAGAAGCAAUGAAGGUUCAGAAGUUUCUGGAAUCUCGUCCAAAGGCAGUGGCUCAUCCAAAUUUUGUGUAGACAUCUCUUCAUCCGCGGAAACUUUAGAUUUAUUUGCAUUGUCGACCACCAUUUGAGAGCUGCUCUUUGCUGAUCCUUGACUUCGAAAGCCAGGUAAUCUAGCAGAGUGGUAGAUUCUGUUAAGGGAUUGUUUACCCCUAGAGAAUAAACUUCUUUUUCUGCCACUAUCUCUCAGUAUCGGCACAUCUGACGAUUCAGCCAGGUCCUCCUGGUACGCAUUUUCCCCAGCAGAUUCGGGCCUUCGACCAGACUCUGAAGAUGAAAGUAAGGAGACUAGGAAUGCAGUAAAAGAAGAUGUAUCAGGACCAUCACCAGAGUCCUCAGAAUCCUCAUCCUCAUCUGACACGGAGUCUGCUUUACUACCUCCAGACUCAGAUUUUUCUUCCUAUUAAAACCAAUACCAAAUUUCUAUAAGCUUCAUUAAUGUUUUAUCUCUGAGAGGGCAAUUAAACGUGACAAUAAACUGCUCCUCUUAAGAUGCUGUAGAACGUAAGAAACGUUAUGAAAAUCUGUUAAGUUCAAACAUGGAAAAGUAAUCCACCUUUAUCCCAUAAAAACAUAUUAUAAACAUUACAGUUACAUUUGAGGCUUUAGGAAUAGAAAGAGGAUGCCCCUGCAUCUCAACUCAAAAAAGAAUUAUUUCAUAUUAUCUACAUUAGGCUCUCAGGAUGCCUACCCUUGCAUACAUUAAUUUGUUUAUUACAUUAAAUAAAGCACUACUGCAGUACUAGCCACCAGAGGCCUGGACUAUUGAUGCUUUUACAACCUCAGGGCUCAACAUGAAUACACUUCUGUCAAGUAAAAUAUCCGCCUUUGCAUCCCAUGACUGCGGGGGUUCAACUUUAAAGUAGAAAAAACUCAAAAAACCACGAAAAAUUUGUAAUUCAACUCCUAACUUUUAGUAUUUGCAUGAUGGACUAACAUACAAAGAGAACGCCAUUCUUCCAUUUUCACAAAGAAUGCCCCCAAGUCACCUCCGGGAUUAAAGGAAUAUAAAUGGACUAACAUAAACAAAGAACACUAUUUUUUUCAUUUUCACAAAGAAUCCCCCUAGCUAGCCUCUAGCAUUAAAACCUAGCAGUACCCUUCUCCUCUUUUCAAAGCCAUAAAAUAUAGUCAGACUGCAAAAAAGUUACAGCUAAAAAUGGUAAAAACGUGACUAAAACUUCACUUCAGAAACCACCAGAAUCCACAGCAGAAAACAAAUAGGGAAUUAAAAAGAAAAGAACUUCAAAACCAACAAAUAAAAAUAAACCCAUUACGACCAUUAAUUCCCACUUCACUCGGGAAUAAAAAAAUCCUAACUGGGCCUUCAAACAAUAUAUAAAAACAUGAAAAUUUAAAACCCAAAUGAUCAGAUUAUUGAUAUAUAAUAAAAAGAAGCAGCUUUUUCUUCUUCGUUGAAUGGGUUGGGGGAAGAUUAUAGCACAAAAUCAUACUAAAAUCAUAAAAUAAUAAUAAAUAUUGACUUACAGGGUGAGCAGGGGUAGUGGAGGUGGGUUUGGAAGAAGGUUUGUCUGAAAUGGGGUUGAGGAGAACUGUGGUAAGAUCAGAUACAAAGUGGGCAGCUUUACUCCUUAUUCCCAUCUGAUUAUUCUCUUCUUCUUCUUUCUUUACCUUUUUUGAUCAGUCUCCAACAGAUAGAUGAUGCUGAUGAUCAAGAUUUCCACUAUCUCUCAACAUUCCAUAUUUUUAAUUUUUUUUUUGCCUUUUUUUGUACACUACUUUCUUUAUUUAUGCUGCAGCAGCUGCUUGUUCAGAUGUCAUGGUUUUCUCAGUCAUCAACUACUAUCAAGAUAGCAUAUUCAACAUACCCUCUUUCAUUUUUUAUUUUUUUUUUUACAUUUUCGUAUAUGCCUUUUUUUAAUUCACAAAAAAAAAGGGUUUAUUCUUUAUUGCUGCUGUUUGUUGGGAGCGGAUGAGGACGAGUAUGCUUCAAGCGACCUCAAAAUUUCCUUUUCUUUUAUGUAGCUCUACAUUGUUAUUAUUUAUUCUUUUUGUCGCUUAACAUGUAAGACUCCAUGGCCCAAUGGAUAAGGCGCUGGUCUACGGAACCAGAGAUUCUGGGUUCGAUCCCCAGUGGAGUCGGUUUUUGCUUUUCGCCUUCAUAAAUGGGGUCGGGUAAUGUUUUGUCCCAGACGUGGUCCAGUGCCAUUGAUCCAAAAUGCAGGUUUGAAGUUGGACUUGAUGGUUCUUGGACGUAGUUUUCUCCCAAUUAUAACAAAAGCAGAUUGGGCCAGUGUUGACUGAUUUUGGGAAAUGGAACUUGAUGACAGUGAAAUAUGAGUGUAAUAAAAUUAAUGUUAAUACUGUGUGCAUUGCUCGUGUGUAAUAUUUGAAUUUUAAAUUUAAAUUUAAAUUUUUUUAACAGAAAAGAUGACUGUUAAUUGAUUGAUGAAAAUUGUUCAACACGAAUUGCUUUAGAAAAUCUAGUGAAAAAUUUCAUAGGGAAUCCAUAAAGUUAGAUGUUUUUAACAUGAAAAUGAAAAGUUGAUUCAUUAACAUUGCUUGCACCCCUAAGAGCCUAUUUUACUUCAUGUAUAUUAAUAAUGGAUAGCACAUCUUGCAGGAUAUUAAUAAUGGAUAGUGCAUCACCCUUUAAAUUAGAGGUGGCAAAUCAACCCAUUUAAUUAGAUUUACCCAUACCCGCCCAUGAAUAGAUGGGUAUGGGUAUUUUAAAUUUUUAUAUAUGGGUAUAAAUGGGUUACCCAAUAAUACCCAUUUAUUAAAUGGGUAUUAUUGGGUAACCCAUCAAACCCAAUUAACCCAUUUAAAAUUCUCUUCCCCCCAAGUCUCUUCUUUUCCCCUACCUUUUUUUUUUUCAAAAUUUUCAUUUUGUCAUGAUGUUAACAUUAUUAUUAUUAUUUGUUGGUUUUAUCUUAUUAUUUUAUUUUUUCUUAGUUUGUUAACUUGCUCAUUUUUUAGCAUUACCAAUUUAUGAUAAAUUUUAGCCUAUUUUAUUAUCUUUAUAAAAUGAAAUUUUAAAUUUAUAUAUGAAAAAAAUGUUAGGGGUUCAAAAUUUUUGGAUUAAGUUUUUAUAGUACUUAAUUCAAAUUUUUAUAUUCGUAUUAUUCAAUUAUUAAAUAAUAGGUAAUUUUGUGACAUAGAGUAUAAAUGAAAAAAAUUGGUAAUUAAGUUUAUUGAACAUUAUAAGUAAAUAUUUAAAACUAAUGAUGGGUACAAAGAGUGGUAUAAAUUAAUAACUUAGUUUGUAAAAAUGAAUUUAAAUGAGUUUGCAAAAAGUUAAAAUAAAUGAGUUAUAAAUGGGUAAUUGGGUUACCCAAUUCAUUUUUUGACUUGCCCAUUUAUACCCAUCUAAUUAAAUGGGUAUAAAUGAGUUGACUCACUUAUACCCAUUACCCAUUUUACCCAACCCAAACCCGCCCAAGUCACCCAUUUUGACACUUCUACUUUAAAUUCAAAUUAAUUGUCUAGAAGAUUAAUUAAUCCAUAUAAUUCACUUUUAUCUUCAAAAGAAAAAUGUCUUUUAUCUUUGGAUUAAAUCUCUUUAUCAGCAUCGAUCUCAUGUGCUCAAACUUUAUUAUGAUGCUAAAAAUCAAAACACUUCAUGAUCUUCGAUUAUUAAUCUUAUACUGUCAAUCGCUACAUUUUUUUACCAUUGCACAAAGUUUAUACAUUACAAACUCUCCCACAAGUAACCAUUCAAACACACACAUACUAUUUAUUAGUACAAACUCCACAUACAUAUUGUUUGAUGCUUAGUGAAAUUUAGGUAAUUUACUUCAUCUAGGGACACCUGCGCCGGCCACCAUGGGUAGUCAUUGAGAAGUAGCAAGGGCAGAAGAGUUUCUGGCUCCCAAAAGUGCCUGGAGGCAGGCAGCUGCAGCGAGCACAGCAAGUCCCACAAGCCCUCUUGCAGAGCUUCUGCCUUGAAGCCAAAGCACACCUUGCAGCACAAGCUUGUCCACAAUCUAGUGUUCUAGUUGUUUUCGUGUAUCUUUCUUCAUAAAUUCUUGGAGGGCAAAAUUCAAUAUGCAUGGUGAAUGAAUUCUUGGUGAGUAUAUGAUUACUAAUUGGUCACACAGGCACCAAUAUGAUGAGACAGUGAAAAAAGUUGGAAUUUUUGAUGCAGCUGGCAUGCCAUAAAUAGUGUGACUAAUUGGUUACUACUGUUGAUUUGUUCAGUCUCAUGUAAAUUUUAUUGAAGCAUCAUGGAUAUAAUUUCAUUUGUGGACUACACUCUUCUGAAAAUGUGGUUUGCAACCAAUUGCCACUAAAUCUUCUGGCAAUUAUGUUAGUUUAGGUAAAAUCUGCUCUAAAUCUAUCCAAAAAAAAAAUUUUGAUGAAUAAGUUGAGGUUCUAGUAUCACAUUCUCUAUUGUCUGUAGAAAACUUUCUAUCACAUGACUAAUGCAAACUGAUGUACAACCUACAAAUAAUAUAUAUCAAACAAAAUUUGGCAGACUUAGCUGCUCAACUUGAAUAAAUUUAGUAUGCAAACUAGAGAUUCAGGCAUGAAAAAGACUUAGGAAAAUAUUCUUUACGCUCCCAUUGUCAUUUUAAUAAUAUAAUUUUUAUUUAUUAAAUUAUAUGAUAAAACAAAUGAUGGGGUGCAAAUAAUAAAGAAAGGAGUGCAAAUAACAUUCUCCUAUAUGCAUUUCGAAAUAAUAAUUGAAUCUGAGUCAUGGGUCGUGGCUGAUUGGAAAUAAACAUGCAUAUGGUUCAUACUUAUCGUUGGGGUGAGAAAACUAUCUGAACUGUUGCUACUGAUCUGUGUGACAAAAAAAGAAAAUAACGUGUUAGCUACUAAAACUACAACAAGAGAAAGAUAAGAGUAAAAGGUGAAAAAAAUAAAUAAAUAAAUGGUAAGUUGUACCUUAAGAUCAUCACGAUCGGCUUCAACAAGAAGAAAAACAAGAAAAGAAAGUAAAAGUGUCAAGGGAAGCUUGGAAGUAGCCAUGAUUCUAAGCUUUUGCUGUCCUCUCUAGUUAAAAAGAAAGAGAAAACGAUUUAGUAAUUUAAUUGAAAAGUAAAAGGCAGAAGACGAAAAAAUCAUUCUUUUUUUUUUUUGUCAAAGAUAGACAAUUAAUUAGAUUAAAAACACUCAGGAGUUAACAGAGAAACCGGCCCGAAAGCAAUCUAAGGAGAACCCAUCAAAAACCCACGUUCAGCCAAGACAGAAACGAGGUCCCUAUGAAUCUUAAAUUCAGAGUAAAUACCCUACUAUCUUCCGAUGUGGGAUGGUUACCCAACCCCCCCUCCCGAGCACAUCCUCACCAAAUAAUUGAUUUUUUUUUUUGUCGAAGAUAGACAAUUAAUUAGAUUAGAAAUACUCAGGAGUUAACGGAAAAAUCGGCCCGAAAGCAAUUUAAGAAAAACCCACCAAAAACCCACGUUCAGCCAAGACAGAACGAGGUCCCUGCAGAUUUUAAACUCAGAGUAAAUUGCUUUCGGGCAUUCAAAUUGCAUGGAUAUUGGCAAUAGCUUUAUUAAUCUGCAUGGAUGUGGCAGUUAUAGAGCUGAGUCAGCAAACCGGAGGGUGAAUGAGAUAACGCUUGCGGACUUGAGUAGCUCAUGCUCAUCAAGCAAUUUGCUUUUAUAUAUAUAGUUUUAAUUUUUAUAUACAUCUAUAUCUAUAUGUAUUCAGGAAGGGGUUUUUAGCAGAAAUCCUCUCAAUGACUUAUAAACUUCUCAUUCUUUUUUUUAGAUUUUUGUAUUUAUUUUAAUAUAUAAAAUGUAAUUGGUUAUAACCCACCUUAUCACCCAUCAAUAUUCCCACUAUCUCACUCCCACUAUCCCACUAUCUUAACUCAUCCUACAAUCACUCCUACAAAUUCUUUUUUCCCACUAUCCCACUAUCUCACUCCCACCCUCUCUCAAUUUCUUAUUUGUUUUUUAUUCUCUAUUCAUUUUGUAAAUGUAUUGAUUUUGUUUCUUUUAUAAGCAGUAGUGGAAGAUAUUAUGUGCAGAGAUUUCAGCAAAACUCAACCUUCUUGCGGAUAAUUGGAAGUAUAUUCUUACCAACUUAAUUUUCCAGGUCGGUCCCCUCUGCUUUUUAAGUAUGUUUUACUUUUGUUUUGCUUUUUGUCAUGAAUGAUAUUGCAUUGAUUUUCUGAUCAUCCAUUAUUUCGAAAAAUUUUUUACAAAAUUCUAAGAACGAUUAUUUGUUUAUUGUUACACUGUAAAGCAAAGAUAGUCAAUAGUGGGAUAAAGUAUAAACACAAAAUCACAAUCACAUUUCUAACAUAAGGUAUUGCUUGCUUAUAUAAUUGCGGAUGGUAUAUGUUCAUGAUUGAGGGUUUUACUAUUUCUAAUAUAAAUUGUAUAUUAUAAAAAUUUAUUUGUUUGUAUUAAUGAAAUUUUUUAAUUAUUUUUUAUUGCACAUUUAUCACAUAAAAAAGGUGUUACGAUAGUUAUUUUCAUAAUUUUAUUUAAAAAAUGAUCGUGCAUGAAAUAAAAAAUAUUUUUGUUGAUAAUAAAAAAUAAUUAAAAAUAGUUUAUAAUUAGAGAAAAACAAUUCAGAUACUACUAAUAACUAAGGCACUAUACGCCAUUAUUAAAAUUGGAUUAAUUUUUAAUUUCGUCAGAAAUCGUUUUGGCAAAAUUGCAUUCUAACAUUUCUUUUCUUUAUCAUUUUCUCUCUACAUUGACUGCAAUAAUUUUCACUUCACUUUUAAUGGGUGGCUUUCAAAAUUGGUAGAAAGAGAGUUUAUUAGCAUUCAAAUAACUGUUUUGUGUUGCAUCUUUUUGAGAUAAUAAAGAAGGCAUGAAACUUCUUGAAGAAUAGUAUCCUACUUUUUAGAGUUUGAAUCACAAUAUUACCUUCAUUUUUUGUAUUUUUGUAUUUUUGCAUCCACUGGAUUAGAAAAAAACGCGUCCUUCUAAGCUUGGAUUAUGUUCAGCAGUGAUGCCAAAGACCUAACGAUAUCUAUAUGAAAAGAAAAACCCAAGGGACAUAAUUAUAUAUCAUACCAAAUAUCAGAAAACUAACUGCAUAAAGGAAAUAAUUCUGACUCAUAUUUCGGCGCUCUACCUGACUCAAGACGGUGAUUUUUAAAAAAAAUUUGGUUUCUCUUGGUAUUUGAAAAAUUCUGAAUUCUAACUGAACUUAAACCAAAAGAAUAAAUUAAAAAUUAUAGAGGCUGCCAAAAUAAAAGACAAUAUUGAAUUGGAUAUUAAAAGAUGGUUUAAACAUAGUAGGGACUACGAACCAAAAUCUUUGAAAAAAAAUUCUGUAUCCAAAAAAAAAAAAAAAAACCUACAAGAACAAACUCAUUUUCCCAAAAAAAAAAAAAAGAAGCCUAUAAGAACAUACGCCCUUUUUCAAAUUUAAUAAUUUAUCUACAUUAUGAACAUAUUAUAAACUAAUACAUUCCUUUUUAUUUAAUAUUAAAAAUUGAUUUUAAAUAUAUAAAUGAUAGCAGAGAGAAUGAAGCAGUUAGCGACAUGUGAAAAAAUCGAAAAGGACAAAAGCAAUUAGAGGGAUAAUUUCGCACAAAAUUCGUGGGUUAAAGUGCAAUUUGAGGUAUAGAUGGGAGGCAUUUUAGUGCAUUUAUUGGUUUGUUUUCAAUAAGUAGUGGUUAGUUUUGCGGGGUUAGGGGGGUCUACAUGUACCAAAAUAUAUUUAUAUAGGGAUUACUUCAUUAACUAUGGGUGCUAAUAAUAAUUUUAUUGGUGCGUAAUUUUCAUUUGAUUACAAUACAAUUGUAUUAAAUUCUAUUGAUGCUACUUCUAUAUUAACUAUUGUAUUUUUUUGUUAACAAUUCUCAUACAAUGUAUCACUUACUACACAUAAAAUAAAUACAAAAAUUAUUUAUUUUUGAUUUAAUAUAUAUAUAUUUUUUCUAGAUCAAAAAAAACGAAAAUAUUGCCACUCUUCAAGUUCGACAGCCAUCCGCAUCACCAAUACUUUUGCGUGAUCAUGGUAAAUAUGCAGUUUUUUAUAUCGUCAAAGAACGUGCAUUUUCAUUUGUAGUACACACUCCACAAAAUUCAACAUAAUUAAUUAAAUCAUCAAUUUUGGCUUUCGUACUAAAAGUGGUUCAAGAAAAAUUAUCAAAUCGAAUGCUUAGUAUUUGUAAGUAUUUUACUUUAACAACAUUCAAUUACAUUCAUUUGUAGAAAUAUAUCAUUUCCUUUUUUAAUAUAAAUUUUAAUUUUUUUUUUCAGGAUCCAUUUUUUGAAAAAAGACAGUUCUUGAAUGAUAUACACAUUCUAUUAUAUUUCAAACUAUUAUUAAACAGAUAUUACAUUUAAAUUUUAUUGAUUCAAUUUUUUCACCUUUAUUUGUUCACCAUUUUAUUUUUUUCAACAAUGUUAGCACCGUGCGUAGCACGGGUAUUCACACUAGUUGUCAAUGUAUACGCUAUUAUGGUUGGAUGUAUAACACGUGAAUAAAUUUUAAAAUUUUAAAUUCAAAUUUUGCACAUAUGUCAUAUAUUUAAUGGUGAUAUUGUAUAUAAGAUUAAUUCAUAUAUAUAUAUAUGUAUGUAUGUAUUUAUGUAUUCAUAGCCUAUUUUCACUCUUUUUUGUUGGCUAGUUUAACUAUAAGCACUAAUAAGGGAUCUAUAUCUAUAUAAAUUUGAGAAGGGAUUUUUAGCAACAGACCUCCACGCACCUUCCCACCCUCAAUUAUAUUUUUCUAGCAUUUUAAAUUUAAUUUAUUUCAUAAAAUACAACAUGUCCAUAUGUGAAACACGCCAUCAUGUUUCCAUCAAAUAAGAAUUCCGCUCCAACUAACAUUCCUCCCUUCACAUACCUUCGUACUCCAAUUAAUACUCCUCUAAUUAACAAUUCCACUCCGAUUAAAAUUCCUCCAACCCAAUAAUAAAAGAUAACAACAUAAUCGUGGACAACCAUGUCAAUCUCAUUUUUGAAAAUAGUGUAUAUCCAUUACAAUGACGUAGUCGACACUAUUGUCAAGUGAUUAUUUUCACAUAUCUUUUAAUUUUAAUUAUAUUUUUUAUUUUAUAUCACAAUUUCUUCUUAACAUACAAGUUAGAGAUCCCGGUGGUAACCUAUAUCUCGCUCUUCAAGACAGGCAUGCAUGAUUCAUAUUUUGUUAUAAUUCUUCUUAUCUUAGAGAUUUAAAAGGGAAGGUAUAAAUUAUUUAUACAUAUAUAUUUUUAUACAAUAUUAUUUACAAACUUUCUAAAACAAAUGAUAAUUCUAAAUUCCGUAUGCUCUUAAUUGUUAGGAAAAUGGAGGUACCUUAUUUGACCAACACAUUAUUCAUGUAAAAAUCGUGCAUUCUCAUUUAUAGUACGAGAUUCACAAAAUUCAACAGAAUUAAUUAAACCCCCAAUACUGGCAUUCGUACUCAGAGUUGAUUAGUGUGAAGAAUGUUCCUACCUUCAUGAAAGAUUAUCAAAUCGAAGGCAAGAUAUUUGUAAGUAUUUCAUUUACUUAUCAAAUUAAAUAUUCAGUUACAUUUAAUUGGACACUUAUGUUACUCAAUUUAUAAUAUAGAUUUCUACCUCUUUUUUUUUUUUUUUUUUUUUUUUCAGGAUCCAACUUCCAUCAAUGUGGUAGUUUAAAAAUAAUGAGAAUGUUUUUAUCAUAUAUUGAACUAUUGCUACAAAAUCUCAUUUUUUAACUAUACUUUUGUGUACCCUAAAUUAUACGAACAAUUACACACAUUUAUUACUCUUUUCAAAUUCCUCCCUCGACUAUAAUUUUUUUCCAAAAAAAUGAUCUACUGUGCGUAGCAUAGGUGUUUAGACUUUAGACUAGUUAGUUUAAAUUGUAAGCAUUAGGACAAGGACUUUGAGACUGAAGAAACACUUCUUUUAAUUGAUGAUGUGUUGUAACUGAAGAAAAAUGUAUAAUGUAUUUUGAUAUACUAAAAAAUUUGAAACCCGUUUGGAUUGCUAUUUUUUGAAAUUUUUAUAGAAAAAUAUAUUAUAAUAAUUUGAUAUAUAUGAAGUAAAAAUAAUAACAUGCAUUCAUUGACUUCAUAUCAACCUGACCCGUGCAUAUGUCCGCAUGACUUUAUGUUCUUUUUUUUUCAUUUUUAUCUAAUUUUCAAAAGUUAUCUAAACAAAAGUUUCGGUUUGGUUCCCAAAGUAAAUUCAAAAUACCAUCUCCAAAUAUUUUUUCAGUCAAAAUUGGACUGCAUUCCACUGGGAUUCUACCACCAGUAAAUCUAAAAUGAAACAAAAUAAAAAAAAUCAUGAUUACUCAUAUAACCCCCAAAAACCAUACAUAUUCCACGGAAGAGCAUGUGAUUAUGUGAAUGAACAAUUGCAACCCAAAGUCCUACGAAUGAACACUCACUGGUGCAUUGCAUGGAGUACUUGGUUCUAAAUAUUUACAGCUUAUAUCCACGCCAUACUUUGUUGCGCUGCUGGUACUCCACGUCAUCCAAUCCAUCCCUCUGACUUUUGCCCUUAUUUUUCAUUAUCUUUAAACUGGUAAUUAAAACACCAAAAACGUUACUCACGUCUUCUCACCUUGGAUUCAUCGUUUUAUCCGUUUUUCCUCGUCACACUUGGCAUCCUUCCCCGCACUCUUUCUCUUGCUUCGUUACACCAACUGGACCACUAUACUUACUUGUCCCGUAAAUCAAUUCAUCCCCAGUCUCUUGUUACAGAAACACACACUACACACAAUAACAGACACACAAAAGAACCUGAAUGGCUACAUUGCGAGUUCCUGCAUCUGUACCUCCUGCAGAUGAGGACUGUGGGCAGCUUAGGAAAGCUUUUGCAGGUCCCUUUAAUUUCUUUCUUUCAUUGCUGAUCAAAUCUGUUACCUUUGAUUAUCUGUAAUUCUUAUGGUACUGUGUAGACGAUCUGUUAAUUUUAGAUGUACUAUGCGAGUUUUGGCAAUGGCCAUUUUAGUAUGAUGAUUUCAAAGAAUGUUUUUCUGGACUGGCUUCAAUUUUGAAGUUUUGAACAUGAUCCUAGUAAGGUUUUUAAAGAUCUAAGUUUUUUGGGACUUUUGAUCAUCUCUCGAUAUGAUUAAUGAUCAGUGUGUUUUGCUUUCGGUAGUGAUAUAAGCGUGGUUUUAUCCUAUUCAAUUUAAAUAGUGUGAUCUGUUGGAUUACAUGGUUCAAAGACUCGGCAAAGUCUGGGUUGACUCAACACCGGAACGGAACUCAACUCUCCGAUAAGACACCCGGAUAUGCCGAGAAUUCGGUCGAGACGGAUAGAAACAGCCGAGUCGCCUGAGUCGUCCCCACAACUCGAAUUUUUAUUAUUUUUGCUAAUUUCGUAGUUAGCCAAUGUCCUCCUAAAUUGGAACCUUGUUGUUCCAAUUUGUGCUGUUACUAUCUUCUUUCUACUAGUUGUUUCUCUGUUGUUUGUGUGUAACAAAAUGUACUACUAUUACCUAUUCUUGAAGUUCUUUAGGAAACUAAUGCACUAACAGGCCAUUUGCCCAACUUGAACGAAAUUUUGAUAGAAAUGGAGAUGAUUGUAAAUAUCAUACCUCUUGUUUUGUAUAUGACAAAAAUCAGACAUGAGGUGUUUGAAUAUAUUACAGGAUGGGGAACAAACGAGGCCCUAAUUAUCCAGAUCCUGGCUCACCGAAAUGCAGCACAGCGUAAGUUGAUUCGGGAAGUAUAUGCUGCAACUUAUGGAGACGAUCUUCUGAAAGAUUUGGAUGCUGAACUUUCUAGUGACUUUCAGGUGACCUUCAGACUCUUAUGCUUUGUUUGAAACUAUGUGAAAACAUGUGUCGUUCAUUUCCCAACUCAGGGCUUUAUGAUUUAUUAUCUUGCUUGGUACUUCAGUUUUGUGUGUUUCUAUUAUCAUCGUCUUUCCCCCUCUUUUUCCUUGUUUUCUUUGAUUUGUUAUCAUCUAAAAUAGUUUGAAUUGCAAAUGUUAUGCCCUGGCUGAUAAGACUGACAUUGUAGGCUCUCCAUUAGCAUUUAAGGACACUUACGUGCAUGUUCAAAACAGCGUGCAGUACUGCUAUGGACACUUGAUCCAGCUGAGCGUGAUGCGCUCUUGGCUUAUGAAGCUACAAAGAGGUUGACUGCUAGUAAUUGGGUUAUCAUGGAAAUCGCUUGUACCAGAUCUUCACAAGAUCUCUUCAAGGCGAGGCAGGCCUAUCAUGCUCGCUACAAGAGAUCCAUUGAGGAAGAUGUUGCAUAUCAUACAGCUGGGGACUUCCGUAAGGUAUUACAGGACGCUUUCCAUGUACUUCAGUUGUGUGAUCAUAUGAAUUUGAUUCAACAACCUUUCCUAGUUGGUGAAACUACAAGUUUUUGAAGCAUGGAUCAAGCUUCUUACAAUGUAUAACACCAUCCCGUGUAGUGAUUAUGAUAAUUUUGAAUCCAUUAGCUUUUCCAAUGUAUUUCUACUAUAAAUCAUUUCACUCUAUUGUCUCCAAUGAAUUAUUUACUUGUGGUAUAUAAUCUAGCACUAUACAAAAUGCAUAGUAGUUCAUUAUACUUUCUGCAAAAUGCACCAUCCUUUUCUAUUGUGCUGAUGAAUUAGAAACAUUCUCUCAUUUGCUUUGUAUUAACUAACUUCAAAAACAGCUUUUGGUCCCCCUAGUGACUGCAUUCAGAUAUGAAGGAGAUGACGUCAACAUGACUUUAGCAAAAUCAGAAGCUAAGCUACUUCACGAGAAGAUAUCUGAAAAGGCUUACAAUAAUGACGAGAUUAUUAGGAUUUUGACUACAAGGAGCAAGGCACAGCUCAAUGCAACUCUCAACCAGUAUAACAAUGAGUUUGGGAAUGCUAUCAACAAGGUAUGUUGUAGUUCACUACUUAUGUUCCAAAAACAAGAGUGCAAGUUAGUCUGCAAACAUGGAGUUUGCUGAUGUGUCUGAAUACUUUAGCUGAAAUGUGCUAUUAAAAUAUACAGUGGACCUGUUUUAUGCAAAUUAUUGUAUUGAUGUCUAUGCCUCUUUAUUCAUAGACUCAAAGUUAAUUCUGCAAAGACGCAUACCUUAGUGGAACUUUAUUAAUCUUCUGCGCAAAUUUAUGUCUUGAUAUCUAUGCCUCUUUAUCCAUACAAGUCUGAUAGUACUCAUAGGACUCUAUUCGACACUUAUGGCAUUUGCCAUAUAUAUUCAGUAAUUGUCUUGUUCGUGCAGAAUCUGAAAGAUGAUCCUAAAGAUGAGUACCUCAAAUUACUUAGAGCAACAAUAAAGUGCCUGACGAGUCCCGAGAGAUACUUCGAGAAGGUUCUUAGAUUGGCUAUCAACAGAGUGGGUACUGAUGAAUGGGCUCUCACUCGUGUUGUGACUACUCGAGCUGAGGUUGACUUGCAGCAUGUCAAAGAAGAGUAUCAUAAAAGGAACAGUGUCCCCCUGGACCGUGCAAUUGCUGGAGACACUUCUGGAGACUAUGAGAAAAUGCUUCUGGCUUUAACAGGGCAUGGAGAUCUUUGAGUAGCUCCUUGUUCUGGCACUUUAAGAGCUUUUUAUGUACGAAAUACAGUCAUUAAUGAGUUUUUAAAGUUCCAUGACUUUGAAACAUGAACUUCUGCUGGUUUGGUCAGUUAAUGGCCGGAGAAACUGUGUGCUGUUAUCUAUGAUUGGUUCAGAGUGUCCUUUAGAAUUCUCUCUCUGGCUUGCACUUUAUGGUUAAAAGUCAAGCAACAUUUAUUACGCAUUACCUUAAAAAACUUGUUUGUAGGUAAUAACCUCAAUUAAUUGACGGGAUUGACAAGGCCAGUUAAUAUUUGAGCUAGAAAUGAUUCCUCCAUACUGAUCAUUCAUGAAAAUGUAGCGAUCAUGCAGAAAUUAGUACUGAGGUCUGCAAUCAGGUUAAGGCCAACCAAAUUGAAGCAAAUGUACUACUGUAUGUUAUACUACCAUGCUGUGUAGGCUUCAUUUACUGAUGCAGCAAAUGGGAGGCAAAACAGGAUGAGAUUUUCCCCAGGACAUUAGAGAAAGAGACCUUGAAACUCCUUCUCCUGCUUGAAUCAACCAUGAUCAGCUUGAUUUUCUCUUAGGUUGUUUCUCCAUUUGAGAGCUCAUUCGGCUCAAUCUGCAAAAUGGGCCUCAAAGGCUAGCAUGAUACACUCCGUCACUAGGAUGAUAUACUUGUAUUUCUCAAAACGCAAGUAUGAUAUACUCGUUACUGGGGGAGUUUGAAGACACUGAACGAAUGGGUUUUCUAUGAUUUUAUUACCCAAACUUGACUGCUAAACCAGCUUGGGGAUAUAUGGUCUGAUUUCCGAUUUGUGAAUAUUCUUAGACUAGCAUAAAUACAAUUAAUAUACGCACUAUUUGCACCGGCUUUCACGACACAAACAGAAGUGACAAUCUUUUUUAAGCCCACUCAGAUUGGCAAUUGGCAAAGCUGGCAUGUUGACAACCAAAAAAAAUUCUCCGUUCUAGUGAGCAAAUAGUGGCUAAUCAGAGGAGGGAAAUAAGUUCGAACCUAAUGGUUUGGCUUGACCAUGGUUCAACUUUGUGAUAAAAGUUGAACGUUCUGCAAACGAAAGAUCCUGAAAAUUUUCUUAUCUCAUAAUCCAUACAUUCAAAACCUAUAAACUAGAUAACUAAUCACUCACGAACCACAGAUGUUCCUCCACAAAGUACAGGACACAAAUUGUGGAGGAACAUAGAGAGAGCUAUUGGUCCUAAUUAUUAAAACUUUCAGUUGCAUGCAAAUAGUUAGACCAAGGCAAUGCUGCUCUCACCACCAGGGGGUUUGCGGACUCCACCCAAGAAGUCUCUAGCUUUAACCUUGCCAUCAGCAAAAAUAUUGUUGCCACUCAUUUCUUUCAGCUUGGCCGUGCUCAGAUGCUUUUCAGCAGAGCCUGGAGGAACAUCUCCUUUGAAAAUGUCAUUGCCAGUCAACUCUGCAAAUUUCUGGUCAUGUAGUUUCUUUGAAGUCUUGACAACUGGUUCUUCACCAAACAAGAUGUUACUUUGACCGCCAGCAGGCUACAAAAGUUCAAACAAGACCAUAAAAAUUCCAGCAUUUUGGACAACCAGUCCGAAAAGAAUAGACUUUAGGUAAUAGGUUGCAAAGAAACUGUCAAAAAAUUUUCCCUAAAUAUAACAGAUCCAAAAGCUGAUAUAGACAUCAUAAUGACAAUACAAAUGCACUUCAAAAUGCAAAUGCAAAAUGCUAUCCUAAAACAUUCAACACACACAGAGACAGAGAGAGAGAGAGUGAAUCUGUGUGUGUGUGGCUGUUUGUUUGUACAUGUGCAUUAUCAGCAGGCCAUACGGGGUACAAGAAUGAGAGAUAAAGAGGAGAAAAUGGAAGUUAAUCUAACAGAUGAGUCCCACGAGUUAACUUACAUUAGAAACCUUGACUGAUGUUCGUAGAUUUCGCGGUGCAGGUUCUCCCAUGUCCUUGAUUUCUUUUGCUUCCAUAGAGCGCACAGCAGCCAAUGAUCUGGGAGGAACUUCAGGAGGAGGGCCAAAGAUAUCAUUACCGCUUAGUUCCUUGCUCUUCGCAUCUGACAGCUGCUUCUUCAUCUUACUAUCAGCUUCGCUUUCCAGUGUUCCACUUAACUCCCGCUGCUUUGCAACCUCAGUAAGAGUUGUCGGCUUCUUUGGAGAAAUCCUUUCUUCAGUACUAAAGGAGAUCUGGCUGAUUCCAUUUGCAGCUUGCUAACAACAAUCAAGAGCAAUUGCAUUCGCAGUCAAAAGACAUGUUAUGGGCAUCAUGGUUUAUAGAAGAAUAUGGCUGUAUGGGCUUCAUUCAGCCAAUGGAAGGGAUUCAGGCAUGCUGAGAAUACAGAGUUACUACAAUUACAUCUACAGAUACCUGAACCAUACGCACAGAUGUCCUAUUAUUAGAAGAGACAUGACCAUUUCCAGAUUCUGAUGCACCAUCUUCAGUCUCUCCAGAAAAUAUUUUGCUUCCAGUAAUCUCCUUCAACUUAUAUCCUGAGCAUGGUUUCCUGAACACACGAACAAACCGCAGCAAAUAAGAGCUCAAAUGCUAAGAAUCAAGGUUCCAAAUUGCACUAUGCAACGAUGCUAAAUCAAUCAUGAGAGUCUGGCACAUUUUAACAAUUUACUUUUGAAUAUACUACAUUUUAGUAUGCAAAAGAUGAAAAUGCUUGUAAAGAAACGGUCCAGAUGAUGUUUCCACAAGCCUAAUGACAUGCUCAAAUUGUCUGUUCUAAACUGACUGCCAUAAAAUUAAACGAAAUUUCACCUUUAGAAACUCAAGCUUUACAAACAUCUUGACAGGAAGACUUUGACCUUUCAUGUUUCUACAUGGCAACAGAACCUAAUCACAUGCAGUUUUUAAGAGUUCGAGCGGCUCCUAUAGCACCUUGGAAAGACUUAUACACAAAAAUGAAAAAAAGCAGGGAUUAUGGUGAUUGGUUAGCAUUAAUAUAUAGUGACAUCACAUUGACCAGUAAAGGCAACUUAUUACGUAUGUCACUUGGAUAUACAUCAGCAACAAAAGCCAAGACCUAUGCUUAUAUUGACAUGCAAAAAUAUUACCUUUGCAGAAACAAUUACCUAAACAUCUUAUCUUGCUAUUGUAAAGCAUGAUUCUUGACGGGUGUUAAAGAGUCUAGCCAUACACACAUAUUCACGCAAGUAAAACACCAGCAUCUCCCUGAUUGCUACAAUGCAACAUUCAGAUAGACAUAGGAUACUAGCAAUCAAGAACAUUCAGCCAGCUUAGCUUUUGGUCAAAACUUGGCAUUCCAAUUAUAAGCAUCAUUUUUUAAAUCGAAAAACCACAGAUUCCAGAACCACUUGCCAUUGACCUCUUGAAUGGGAAAUGUUAUUUGCACUCUAUUUUUUGUUAUUUGCACCCCACCAUUUGUUUUAUCAUAUAGUCUAAUAAAUGAAAACUAUAUGAUUAAAAUGAUACUGGAAGUGUGAUUAACAAAAAUGGGAGUGCAAAUAACAUUUUCCAAAAUUGUACUCCAGUUGUUAAUCAAAUAAUCGAAAAGCUGACAAAAGUUACCCCAUACGUAUAGCUGUAUUUAAGCAAAAUAUCUUCCAAAGUACGAAGUGAGCUAAAUUAAUUCCAGAUAAAGAAAAAGUCAUAGGUUAUAUCAAAGUGAAAAAGUAAAUUAGGUAGCAGGAUUCAGAAAACAUGUAAGUUCAACCAAAUAUGUAAUCUUUUUCUUUUUAUAUUCUACUCAUAAACCAAUAUUACCCAAAAUAUUUCCCAAAAAGGAAAGGCAUCGGAGAAAAAAAUAAAUCUUUAAACUAGAUGCAUGAUACAAAUAAUUUCACUGCUGAAACAGUAAUUAUCUACUAAAUAAACAUAAAAAAUUAAGCAUGGACUCACAGAUCCAUUAUACUAUCAUCCAACUUCUAGUAAAUUAAUACAGGAAAAAAUGCAAAUAAGAAACAAAAAAGAAAUAGGGGUCUAGAUUCUUGACAAUGCAAGUAAAGUUUCAAACUUGACAACUUAAUUUGCAUCUCAGUGCAACUUCUCCUGAAUUAAACAAGCAAAAAAAAAAAAAAGAAAAAAGAAAAAAGAUAUGCAUCUGAUUACAAUAACCUUCUAUUGAGACUUUCAGCUUCCUCAUCAGUGAUCUGUCCUCCAAACAGCACCUUACCAAUCCCAUCUGCUGGCUACAAUAAUUUCAACCAGAAAAAAAAGAAAAAGAAAAAACAUUAAAAAGAGUACAAUACUAAAUCUCCGGCUACAAUGCAGUGCAUUUUAAAGUUGCUAGUUAAACAAGAAAGUGUCCGGAAAAUGAGGUGUACCUGCUGGGGACGAGUGGCAGAGCGGGAGACAUUGGCGGAGGCCGAGGUGGAGGAGUCGGACGGAGGCGCCUCCGACCAUGUCAGCAAGUCGGCCGUGGAAGUAUGGGGCUUCCGGGCAGGCGUUACUCUCUCCAUUUCUUUUUCUUUUUCUUUUAGUCCCUUUCGUCUCUCUCCUUCUUCUGUGCUUUUUUUUUUUUUUUUGAACUGAAAGUCUGAAAGGCUUAGUUGAAAAUAUCCGGAGAGCUGUUGUAGACUGUGGUCCGUGGACACUACAGAGAAAGAAUAUCUGAAUCUAUCAUUAUCACAGUCUUAAAAUCUAACUUAACACGUGUACUACUUAGGUCUCACCAUUUAAGAUUCCUCAUUUUCAUUUUCAUUUUCAUUUUUUUCGUUUUAUUUAUGAAUCAAAUAAUAUUGGCAAAAAGUCAUGGUUUGGGAAGUUCAUUUUCUGCGAAGAGUUCACUUAAACUAUGCGGCUUUAAAAAUACUAUAGGUAUGUCUUUUAUAGAUACAUGUAAUCGAUUCGUAAUUACAUUUUAAUUUUAGGACAAAAAAUUUCAGCAGCUAUGAAACUAUUACUAGCAUUGACUUUUGACCAUCAAAUAAGUUUUCAUCAUAAAUUAACUACUAAACUAACUAAUCAUCAGAGUUGUGGUCAUAAUUUGUAAAAUUCAUUAAAACUUCGAAGACAAUUCAAAUUCAAAAUAAGCUUGAAAUGCAUGCCAAAAAUUUCUAGUCAAAAGCUUAACCUAAUAUCUAAUAUACAUGCCAAUCCAAAGAAUAUAAAACAAAAAAAAUCUCAAUAUAAAGGUAAUGCUAGGUAAAUAAAUAGCCUGGCCAAGUAACCAGGCGCUCAGGCUGCUACCAGACUCAGCCACUCAGUUAGCACCCCACCACUCCUCCCAUUGUUGGUACAUGCAGAUGUGUCUAUGGAGGCCACAAUCACCUGUAAACUAACGCAUAUCUUCUUCUUUGCAUUUGACACGUGGCGAAGACUAGUAGCAUCAUCAAACUUGAUCAAAAUCUUUCCAUACCAACAAUUUAAUGGACUACUAAUUCUCCUUUCCAUACAUGUACUUCACACUAUAAAAUUCACCUCCCGCGCGCGCGCUCUCGCACUACACAAAGACGACACCCCCCUCUCUGUCAUUUUCUUUCUGCACUCUCUCUCUACUGUAAAUCCGUUUCUCCCUCCACACGCGCAGUAUACAACUUCAUUCCUUCUCUCCUCUGCCACUCGAACGCAGCAGCAAUGGCAGACGUUCCUCGGUACAUACAUAUUAUAUACUUCCAUAAAUUAAAGAUGGUAUCUGAAGAGGUGAUUUUUGGUGGGUAGAUAGACCGACCUAAAUCAGUCCUCUCUGAGAUGAGGUGAGGUAUCUUUGUUUGUCCGAAGUGGAUGGCGGGGCUUCUCCCCUGGGAUCACUCCGACGAUCAAGUUAGUAUGAGAACGAGAAAAAUAGUAAUAUAUGAGAAUGAACAGUGUGCUUACUUGUUAAGAGUGCCUGGGGAGUAUUUAUAGAGUGGGAGUAAAAGGUAGGACGGGAGCUCAUGCUGGUGGGACCCACAUCCUGGUAUUACGGCUCUGUUCCCUGUCAGGAGGUCUGACUCUGACACUGUAGCCGCCUGGGCAGGGUGACGGGGAGCCUUACGUAGUAGCCAUUAAAAGCAUCCGGUACUUUUCAGAUAAAGCACUGGCUCUGGACGAUGUCAAAGGUGUUGACAUCAUUAGCGUGCAGCUGAGGUGGAAACUUGCUGAGCAGAGACUGCCUACGUGGUAGACUAGAGACCCGGCCGAGUUCAGGGGUCGUGCUCAGGUCAUGAUUAUGCUCUGAUGAGAGAAGAAAUGGGUUCACCUCGGCUUUGCGGGGUGACCGAGGUGAGCAUCCUCAAUAAGCCCCCCAAGCCCCGGGAGUUCCGGGCCAGGGAGGUACCGAGGCUUCCUUGUGCCGAAGUCAUCAAAGGCCGGGGUCCUGAAACUGCUCCGGAAGAUGCGGGGGCAUAACACGUAGGCGAGUCAGUUGAUAAGACGUGGAAAGAAGAGGGGGUGUCAGUCGAAAGGACGGGCCAUUAAUGAAGAGAGAGAGGGACACGGCGUUUUGAAUUCGAACGUGGCCGCCUUUUCGCAUUCUGGCCGCCUUUUCCCAUUCUGGCUGCCUCUUCAGAUUCCCCCAAAACCCUAUAAAUAGGGGGUCUUUUUCAUCGCAUGGCCCAUCACUUUUGUUUAGUUUUGCCUGAGUCUUGCAAAAUUCGUGAGUGUUGCCGAGGUCAGUACUGUCAGCCGAGAUCACAGCCGAAGUUAUCAGCUCCGCCUUAUUCCGUAGUCAAGAGUAAGUAUCUUUCUCUUCAUCUCAUCUUUCACACAUGGCCAAAACGGCUAAAACCCAUAAGGAGACCGUGAGACCGAGCUACCAGACCGAGGAGGAGCCAGAAGAAAUGACUUCGUCCAACUCAGAGGGGUUGACGUCUAGUGCUGCGGAGGAAUCAGCAGAGGAGGUCACCGGGACAGCCUCGGGGUCGGAUUCAUCCGCGAUGAGCGAGGAUGGUUCCGAGGUUGAAUAUAAUACCGACCUCGGAACUUCAAUACCCCAAGAUGAGGGCGUACUGGAGCCAGUUGCCCCAAAGGAUGUCACCAAGAUUGACUUCGGCCAGAUAUCGAAGUUUAGAAGUCGCAUAGGAAGAGACAGGGCCGAAAAGAUGAUAAAGAAAUACCCCUUCAAGUCGGGGUAUCUCGUAACGUCACCUGGGUCGAAUGACUCGGCCGAUAAGCCCCCGAUGGGUACUGUGGCUAUCUACCUCCAACAGUUGGAGGCAGGGCUGAGAAUGCCGACGUCGAGAUUCCUCAGGGACGUCCUCCGUCACUUCGCCUUGAGGAUUACUCAACUCACCCCGAACGCGGUUCGCAUCUUGGUGGGAUUCGAGAUGUUGUGUCGACAUCAAGAGGUGACUCCAACUGUGGAUCUCUUUCGCCGAUGCUACACUGUCAAGGCACACGGAACGGAUAAGGGGUGGUUCUACAUUUGCAAUCGAAACAACACCAUCCCGAAGCUCGUGGUCGGUGCUCCCUCUUCGAUAAAGAACUGGAAGCGUGACUUCGUUUUCGUUCCAGCCGUGGACUUCCCUUGAGGUUUUUGGUGGAGGCCCAUUAAAUCAAAGGCCGACCCCUCAGCGGGGGACCACGAAGAGGAGUCCUUCCAGAAGUUGAUGGGGUCUGGACUUCGGCUGUUCAGCUAUGACUACCCCGAAGCCGUGCUGGUUGAUGGGGGAAUUAGCCGAGCCUUACUCAAUCCCGACAAGCCUCUCUUCAUUUCCACUAAACUUACGAAACCUUGUAAUUUUUCUUUCAUGGCUUUCUUUUCACUUCAAUUGUGGCAAAUAAUAAUGUUUGUUUUUUGUGCAGUGGCGAAACUAUCCGACAUCAUCACAUCGGGCUCGGCUGAGGUGGCCAAGAGGUCAAAGAGGAAGAGCUCUGGCGAGACCUCAACGCCCCCGCCGAAAAAAAAGACACAAGGGCAGUUGUCCAAAACUUCGGCUGCUACAAUCACUCCAGCCACGGCCGCCCAGAGCAGCUCGACCGCCGCAGCCACGGGAUCCACCUCUUCUGUGCCGGAAGGGGUGCCCCUCGGAGUUACUGCGGCACUUCCGCAUCCUCACGACCGAGGUAAACAAUUGAAUGCUCCGGUCAAUGCGGUCACGGGGACUUCCCUGUGGAACCGCUUUCACAGCCCCCCUGUGCUUCCCGGAAAAGAUAAGACCCACUUCGGCAUUCAUUGGUGUCCGGAGUGAAAGCUUUCGGUCAAUGACAGGUGUACCCACCCUCGGGUAGCACAAGAGCUGGUGAUGCAGUCAAGUCUGCCGAGGGACGUGGAGUUCACAAGGAAACUCACUCCGGCCGAAGUGAUUCAAAGCGUGAUGGUGACCACCGCCUCCAAUACAGCCUUUAUGGCCGAGAUGGCGCACCGAUACUGUGCCCUAUUCGAGGAAUAGGACGCCGGCAAGUUGCAAAAUCAGAUCUCCAAGUUGGAGAAAAAACUGGUAGUGUCUGAGUCCGAGAAGGCGGAGCUUCAAAGACGACUUCAACAAGCCGAGGCGAAGGAGGAGGAGGCCGAAACUACCAUCAAUAGUCUCAGGUCGGCUCUCGAGGAAGAGCAGAAGAGGGGGGACGAGGUGAAAAAGUCCCAUGAACAAGCCCUCGAUAGCGCCGGAGCCUCGGCAGUGGAGGCUUUCCGGAAGUCCGAAACCUUCACCAAGGACCUCGGCCAACUAAUCACGCCGAACUUUAUGUUUGACUUUACAUCAGCCAUAGACGAGGCCGCAACCCACCUUUCCUCCGAAGCUUUGGAGUCUUUGAGGAACCAUGCCAAUUACAACAAGGACUCCAAGGAGUUGUGCGAUCGGAUGGCCGAAGGUCUCCAAGCUGGAAGGAACUUGGCCGAAGUCCGGGAUGAGUUCAACAAGUGGCUGUCCGAGCUCGACGGGGUGUUCGAGGAGGAUGAAGGAGAAAAAGCUGGGGGAGAUGUUGGCGAGAAGGUCGGCGAAGAGCACGGAGGAGGGGAAGAAGAGCUUCACCCCGACGGGGAAGAGACCGGCGAGCAGGCUGCCCAGGAGGGAGCCGAAAUGGGGGAGGGAGUCGAGACGGGGGUCUAGGCUCGUAAGUGUUUAGGUAGAAUGCCGAGAUGGCAGGUGCUUAAUAGCACUCCCGAUCUCAGUUUUGUAAUCAUGUAAUGCCUCUUUUUAUUAAAUGAAAUUUCUAUUUCUUCUCAUCUCGGCACUUUUAAUUUCUUACUUCGACCCCUGCUUGUCCCCUUUAUUUUUUAAUAACGGACGUGUUGAAAAAUAACAAAACAGCUGAAGUCAUAACUUGAUGAAAUGUUCAAGCAUAAUACAAUCUGAGGUUCUCGGCGUGCCAAGUCCUCGGCACUAGAGAGCCAUCUCGGUAGCUCAGUUUACAAUAUUCACUAAGACUAGACUCUACAACUCUGUAAGGGCCUUCCUAUUUUGGGCACAAUUUCCCUUGUGGCUCAGCUCGGCUGACUGAGUUUUUCCUGAGAACCAAGUCUCCUGGCUGGAAUCGAUGGUGUUUGACGCGGGCAUUGUAAUAGUGGGCAAGAGUGUUCUUGUAGGAGGCUAUCCUAGUUGAGGCGAUGUCCCUUUUCUCGUCGACGAGGUCGAGAUCGAGCUGUCUCUUUUCUUCGUUCACCUCGGCUGCAUAAGCCAUUAGCCGAGAGCUGGGUGUGAAGAUUUCGGCAGGGAUGACAGCCUCGAUCCCGUAGGUCAAGGAGAAGAGGGUCUCCUGCGUGGCUGACCUCGGCGUGGUCCAAUAAAACCACAAGAGACUGGGGGUUCUUCCACCCAAGAUGAUCCAGUUCGUGUAGUCGGGUCUUGAGGCCAUGCAAGAGAGUUCGGUUGAAAUUUUCGGCUUGACCGUUGGUUUGGGAGUGGCCCACCGAAGUGAAGUGUUGUUUGAUGCCGAGGUUUUUACACCAGUUCUUAAAUGGGUUCUCGGCAAACUGCCUCCCAUUAUCUGAAAUGAUAACUUGGGGUAUGCCGAAGCGGCAAACGACGCAUUUCCAAAAGAAUUUUUUAAAUGCCAGUCCGGUGAUGGUCCUUAGAGGCUCGGCCUCAACCCACUUGGUGAAAUAAUCCACAACGGUUACCAGGAAAGUAUAGCUCCCGACGGCCUUGGGGAAGGGACCUAAGAUGUCUGUCCUCCAUUGUUCAAAUGGCCAGGGUGAAGUGAUAUGAACCAUAAAGUUUGAGGGCUGGUGGUGCUCGGGGGCGUGGACCUGGCAGGAAGGGCAGCCGAGAACAAGGUCUUGGGUAUCUUGUCUGACGGAAGGCCAGAAAUAUUCGAGAAGCAAAGUCUUCUUGGCUAACAUCCUGUGCCCGACGUGAGCUCCACACAAGUUUUCGUGUAUCUCAUGGAGAACCUGGCAUCCUUCCUCGGGCAUAACGCACCUCAGCCACGGGCCAAGGUAGGAGCGCUUAUACAGCUCCCCAUCGCGGAGGGCUUACCGAGCAGUUUUGCGUUGUAUCUUUCUUGCCUCGACUCGGUUCUCGGGGAGGACUCCCUGACCUAGGAAGAGGAUGAACGGGCUCAUCCAAAUAUCUCCAGAGUGGACGGGAUAGGCCACUUCUUCCAGGUAUCCCGGCUCGGUUAACACUUCCACAAAGACGGUCUUGUUGAGGUCAGAAAAUGAUAUGGAAGCCAGCCGGGACAGAGCGUCGGCUCGCCUAUUCUAGGAGCGGGGAAUUUUUUGGAUUUCAAAAGACUGGAAGAACGCGGUAAGUUGGUGAACUUUGGUGAGAUACCGUUGCAUGGUCUCAUCCUUGGCCUCAUAUUCACCAAGAACUUGGUACACUACGGUUGGGAGUCACUGCGGACGUGGAUUCGCUGGGCACCGAAUUUGCGGGCCAGUUGGAGUCCAGCGAUCAAGGCCUAGUACUCGGCUGCAUUAUUGGUGGCCGGGAAGUCAAAGCGGAGAGCAUACGAGCACACUUCCCCAUGGGGGCCCUCCAGGAGCAGUCCUGCUCCACUGCCGUCCCCAUUAGAGAAUCCGUCUACAUACAACGUCCACAGGUGUGGAGUGGACACCUCAGCAAUGGCGGAUGUGGAUUGUCGACCUUCCGUGAAGGUGAGCUCGGCUAGGAAGUCUGCCAAAGCUUGAGUCUUUAUGGCAGUACGUGGUUCAUAUGACAGAUCAUAUUCUCCCAACUCGACAGCCCACUUGGUGAGGCGUCCGGAAGUCUCGGGACACACCAAUAUCUGCCGAAUAGGCUGGUCUGUUCUAACGGAAAUGAGAUGAGCCAGGAAGUAGGGCUUCAGCCGCCGAGCUACGUGGACUAGCCCUAGUACGAGUUUUUCGACCUGGGUGUACUGAGUCUCCGGCCCGCGGAGAACUCGGCUGACAUAGUAGACCGGCACUUGAGUGCCCUCAUCUCAGAUGAGCACAGCACUGACAGUCUCGUCGGCUGCGGAUAGGUAGAGGUAAAGCUUCUCUCCGGACCGAGGUGAAGCAAGAGUGGGUAGGUGGUGCAGGUACUGUUUCAACUUGUUGAAGGCAGCCUGGCACUCUUCAGUCCAGGCAAACUGAUCAACUUUUUUCAGCAUCUUAAAGAAGGGCAGAGUUUUCUUAGCAGAUUGGGACAGGAAGCGGUUCAGUGCGGCCAGGCGUCCAUUUAGCCUCUGGACUUCUCGGAGCUUCUGAGGUGGGGACAUGUCCUGAAUUGCCUUGACCUUGUCGGGAUUGGCCUCGAUUCCCUGGCGGGAAACCAAAUAUCCCAAGAAUUUUCCUGAAGUGACGCCGAAGACGCAUUUCUUGGGAUUUAACUUCAUCCUCGAGUCCCGUAGGACGCCGAAAACCUCCCUCACAUCCGACAGAAAGGCCGAAGUGAUUAAACUUUUGACGAGAAUGUCGUUCACAUAGGCCUCCACAUUGCGGCCGAUCUAAUCUUUGAAGAGUCGGUUGAUUAGCCUUUGAUAGGUGGCCCCGGCGUUUUUCAACCCGAACGACAUGGUAGUGUAGCAAUAGACACCUUGGUCGGUGUAGAACGCCGUCUUCUCUUGGUUCUCUUCACUCAUUCCUAUUUGAUGAUAUCCUUUGAAGGCAUCUAGGAAACAGAGGAUCUCAUGUUCUAUCGCCGAGUCAACGAGGGCAUCUAUUCUCGGCAGAGGGUAGCAGUGUUUGGGGCAGGCCUUGUUGAGGUCGGUGAAAUCCACGCACAUUCUCUAUCCACCGGUGUCCUUUUUGACCAUGAUUGGAUUAGACAGCCAGGUGGGGUAUUGGACCUCGUGAAUCAUUUUGGCGGGCAAGAGUUUGUCGACCUCAUCGGAUAUGGCCUUGCUGCGUUCGGGGCCGAAGUGCCUUCGUUUCUGCCUCACAGGGCGGGCUUGUGGAUUAACGUUGAGCUGGUGAAUCAUGAGUUCGGGUGGCAUUCUGACCACUUCAUCAGCGGACCACGCGAAGAUGUCUCGGUGGUCCUUGAUCAGGUGGAUCAUUUCUUCCUUCAGGGGCGAGGGGAGUCCGGCCCCCACUUGGACCACUUGGUCAGGUCUUGACUCAUCCAAGACCACUUACUCCACCUCAUCCCCGGGCUCAAACCUGCUAGGCUCUCCUCCCUUCCGAGGAUCGAUACUGUCUAUGGAGAGGACCGCUGGCCUCUUUUCUUCACCCCUUGAUGCGAUCCGUGGGGUGACCGCGGCCUGGAUGGUGGCGAGGUAGCAUUCUCAGGCGGCGUUCGCAUCGCUGAUCACCUCGGCCACCCCCGCAGGUGUCGGGAAUUUGAAACUCAGGUAGUAGGUGGAGUAAACAGCUCUCAAAGCGUUAAGCGUGGGCCGGCCUAUCAGCAUGUUAUAGGGAGAGUCUGCUUUGACCAUCGUAACGCUGACAGGCACAGUUCGGCAACGGGGAUGACACCCGACAGUCACCAUCAGGGUCACCACGCCCUCCGGGUGGACGAUGUGUCCCCCAAAUCCGACAAGGGGGGUUCUGACAGGAGUGAGUUGCUCUCUGGUCAGUUUUAAACUUUCGAAAGUUCGGUAGUACAAGACGUCUAUCGAGCUUCCGGGAUCGACAUAGACCUUUUUUACUAUGUAGUUAUUAGUGAGGACUUCAAUCACGAGAGUUUCGUGAUUGCUGGAGGCGGCAGGGACAGGGUCGUUGGGACCGUAGGUGAUCACUACGGAUAAUCGAGAACUUGGCUCGGCCGCUUCCAUGCCGUCCUGGCGGUAUGUCCGUUUUCGGGAGUUCUGACUGUCUUCUCCCGUUGGGCCACCUGCUAUCGUGUUGAUCACCCCGACAAUGUUAGGGCCGUAACCCGGUGAUCUGUCGCGCGGUGGGCGCUGAUCCUCCCUGCGGUCUUCGGGUUCUCGGCAAUGGAUCUUGGUGUUCCGCCUGUCUUCUAGGCGAGGGCCCCGACUCUUCCGGUGGGAGGCGCUUCGGUUGUAAGCUCCAUCCUUGCGGACGAAUUGCUUCAAGUGUCCUUGGCGGAUCAGGUUCUCGAUUUCUCGCUUCAGAUCGUUGCAGUAUUCGGUCUCGUGUCCGACAUCUCGGUGGUAGGCACAAUAAAGGUUGGAGUUCCUCCUAUCCCUCCUCCUCGGGAUCUCAGGAGGGGUCCGACCGAGGUGAUUUUGCCUCAUCACCGCCAAGACGUGAGACCGGCUAGAAUUGAGCGGGGUCAGCUCGGCGUCCGAGGUGGACGAUCUGCCUUUCACGAUCCGGUCGAAAACACUCCGGCGGUCUCGGAAUUGGUUCGAUGAGCCACUUGGGUCUGGUUCACCUCGGCCGGUGUCUUUUUUCCUCUGGAGGUUUUGCCCCGUACGAGCUGCCUGGGCUUCUCGCUUCAUGCGAUUUAAGUCCUAAUUUCGGAUUCCCUGGUCUACUCGUUCCCAGAGUUCCCGAAGUGUGCGGAGGUAAUUCCGAUGUAUCUCAGUAUUGAAGAUCCCCGCAAUCAACCCGUUGGUGAAGUCAGCUAUAGUUACCUGCUCAUUCUGAUCAGGUAUCUGCACAUUUUCCUCAUUGAACCUCUGCACGUACGAGCGCAGUGACUCGCCGGGACCCUGCUGCAGGUUCAAGAGAUAAGCUAAAGUCUUCGUAAUUGAGCGAGACGAUACAAAGCGGUGAAUGAACCGGUCUAUCAACUCGUCCAGCGAGAAAAUGCUCCUUGGCUCCAAGCCCCAGAACCAUUUUCGGGCUUUCCCUUGUAAGAAGAUAGGAAAAGCUCGGCAAAUCACGGCGUUGGGGACGCAGUAGAGUCGAAAUGCCAAGAUGAAGGCGCGGAGGUGAUCCUCGGGAUCACCUCAGCCAUCGUAGGAGUACAAGUUUGGGAGUUUAAAAUUUGGGGGCAUCAUUUCCCCGUUGAUGUCAUCAGUGAAGGGCGGAGCCCUCAUGUAGUCGGCCGCUAAGCCUCCAGGACGCCGAGGUGGGUCCUCAGCUCGUUUUUCAAGUUGGUUCCGGAAAAAUGCCCGGGAGACAGAGGCAAUUUUGGAGGUCGCCUUAGAAGAGGUACGCCUGGAAGUACUCCGAGAGAGGCGCCCCUCAUCGGAGUCCUCACCUGAAGGCACUUCAGGGGAUUUCGUCGGCCUCCUCUUGGAAGAUUCGGCCUUUUCUUUCCCCUGCCUUUUAAGGUACCACCCAAGUUUCUCAAAAAUGUUGGAGUUGUCUGAUACGAACUCGGCCAUCUUGGCGAUGGCGUCCUCGUUGGGCUGGGUCCUUUGGGACCCUUGUUCUUCAGAGAUGCGAUGUUGCUGGGCUCCCGAGGUCUGCCCAGCCCCGGUCGAGGGAACUCUUCCGCUUCUGGAGUGCGUGGAUCUAAUUUUAGCAAUACUCUCGUUCCCACAGACGGCGCCAAUUGAAGAGGUGAUUUUUGGUGGGUAGAUAGACCGACCUAAAUCAGUCCUCUCUGAGAUGAGGUGAGGUAUCUUUAUUUGUCUGAAAUGGAUGGCGAGACUUCUCCCCUGAUAUCACUCCGACGAUCAAGUAAGUAUGAGAACGAGAAAAAUAGUAAUAUAUGAGAAUGAACAGUGUGCUUACUUGUUAAGAGUGUCUGGGGAGUAUUUAUAGAGUGGGAGUAAAAGGUAGGACGGAGGCUCAUGCUGGUGGGAACCACGUCCUGGUAUUACGGCUCUGUUCCCUGUCAGGAGGUCUGACUCUGACACUGUAGCCGCCAGGGCAGGGUGACGGGGAGCCUUACGUAGUAGCCAUUAAAAGCAUCCGCUACUUUUCAGAUAAAGCACUGGCUCUGGACGAUGUCAAAGGUGUUGACAUCAUUAGCGUGCAGCUGAGGUGGAAACUUGAUGAGCAGAGACUGCCUACGUGGUAGACUAGGGACCCGGUCGAGCUCAGGGGUCGUGCUCAGGUCAUGAUUACGCUCUAAUGAGAGAAGAAAUGGGUUCACCUCGGCCUUGCGGGGUGACCGAGGUGAGCAUCCUUAGUAUCAAAUGCUGUGGACUCAAUAUGGAAUUAGCCCUUCCUCAAAAGCUUCAAUACUAAUAAUAAUGAUAAUAAUAAUAAUAAUAAUACGAGUCAUUAAUAAAUAAAAUUGGCACCUUAUACAAAUUUUCAUGCGAACAAUACAAGUCAUUGUGCAUUUGAAGUGUAAAAUUGAAAGAGGUGAAUUCUUGAUUAGCUUUUAGGGGAUGAGAGCUUUUCCGUCUACUACAUGCAUGUGUACAUAUACAUGUGCAUGUAUGUGAUGUGAUUACCUCAUAAAAAAGCUUAUGGGGUAAUUUUUGGACAAGAAUAAUGUUAAAAUACCAUACGCGUUUUUAAAUUUCUUUUGGUGCUUCUAUUCUACAGGGAAUAUAUAAUAAAAUUAUCAAAAAUAUAAACUUGCCCAAUGUACAUGUCUAUCACAAAUAUACAAUUACUAAUUGUUGCUGUAAAGGUAUCCAUGUAAUAUAUAUAUCCAUUUUUGCCGCCAAUUGUUUGUUGCGGUAAAAUACUCUCUCGCAUUUCCUGAUUUAAGUGAAUCACCCUUAGCUAAAAAAUCAUUUAUAUAAAAACUUGUAAGCUCUUAAAUACAAACAAACAAAGAAAUGCGAAAAUGCUUCUAGCCGAACCCUAGAAUCAAGUAUGAUGCAUCUAUCAGAUUCUACUCAUUCCAACAUGAGAAAAAACAAACUGCAUCUAUCAGAUCAAAAAACGAGAAAUCAAACAACAUUAGUCCAACGAUCACCAAAAGUUGAUAAAAGUUUGAAACCGAAAAUUCAAGAUACGUCCGAGAUUGUUUACAAGUAAUCAGCUACAAACGACGAUCAUCCAAGAUGCCUGAAAAUACUGUUGCAUUUUCACAUCUAAUAUGCAUUACCACCAAAAACACAAAAAUUUCCGUAGGUGUAAAGCUCAGAAAAUCAUCUAUCGUUUCUGGGAAAGAAAAAAAAAAAAGAAAAAGUAAAGCUCAGAAAAUGAGAAACAAGCUGUUUUCGUAUUAAUCCCUUCCUCCUCAUCCUUGUACCCCCGUUCCUGCUCCACUCUAUGGCUCCAUUUCUUCCUCCUCGUGCUGCUGGAUCUCUACGGCUCCACAAGCUGGGACCUCCUCGGCUUCACGUCUUCCUCCUGCAGGAACAUCCGCAGCCUCGCCUCGCCCUGCUCCUGCUCCAGCUAAUUGAACCUCCCCUCCUCCAACCUCCUGCUGCAACUGCCUGUCCCUGUAUCAAGACCAAGAGCGCUUAUUACAUAGCACAACACAAGAAAACAAUAGAUUAGUAAGGUCUAUUACAUGACGUUGGACCGGAGGCGUCAAGAUCCACUGUGCUUCUGGAUCAGCAGCACCAUCAGGCCGCAUAUUACACGCCCCAGUUUUAUAGUGUGGACAGUAUAUCAAACGGCAGCCUUGAAAGUUAACUGGAACUAUCCGCUCAUCCCCCUUCGCGAGGCACCUGAAGUAGUAUUUUCUACCCCACCCAAAAACCAAGAACAAUCCAUGCCCAAACUCUACGGCAGCAAACAUUAGUGGAUAUAACACUGACUUUUCAAACCCAUGUUCAGUUUGCUUGGUUAUGAAAUCAACCAAAGCAAAGCAGACAUGAACGCACCAGAAGCCUAUCCCAAGUAUCCCGAGAGCGUCGCCCCACUUAGACCCAUCCCCAGCAUACCCUACAGGAAUGCACUUACGCCUUCGUUUAAACUCAACUCCUUCGCUUCGGCCCAGGAGGCGAUAGCUAAAAAUCGACCAAGCCCACCCAGCCAAAGCCACUAGAAGGGCAACCAAUGCAGGUAUCUUCCGAUUUUCCCAGUACACGGCGGAUACUUCUGCUCCCAGCCCUAAAAUGGCGGGGGCAAGCUGAAUGAAGAGGUGAUUUUUGGUGGGUAGAUAGACCGACGUAAAUCAGUCCUCUCCGAGAUGAGGUGAGGUAUCUUUGUUUGUCCGAAAUGGAUGGCGGGGCUUCUCCCCUGAGAUCACUCCGACGAUCAAGUUAGUAUGAGAACGAGAAAAAUAGUAGUAUAUGAGAAUGAACAGUGUGCUUACUUGUUAAGAGUGCCUGGGGAGUAUUUAUAGAGUGUGAGUAAAAGGUAGGACGGGGGCUCAUGCUGGUGGGACCCACAUCCUGGUAUUACGGCUCUGUUCCCUGUCAGGAGGUCUGACUCUGACACUGUAGCCGCCUGGGCAGGGUGACGGGGAGCCUGACGUAGUAGCCAUUAAAAGCAUCCGGUACUUUUCAGAUAAAGCACUGGCUCUGGACAAUGUCAAAGGUGUUGACAUCAUUAGCGUGCAGCUGAGGUGGAAACUUGAUGAGCAGAGACUGCCUACGUGGUAGACUAGGGACCCGGUCGAGCUCAGAGGUCGUGCUCAGGUCAUGAUUACGCUCUGAUGAGAGAAGAAAUGGGUUCACCUCGGCCUUGCGGGGUGACCGAGGUGAGCAUCCUCAGUAUCAAAUGCUGUGGACUCAAUAUGGAAUUAGCCCUUCCUCAAAAGCUUCAAUACUAAUAAUAAUGAUAAUAAUAAUAAUAAUAAUACGAGUCAUUAAUAAAUAAAAUUGGCACCUUAUACAAAUUUUCAUGCGAACAAUACAAGUCAUUGUGCAUUUGAAGUGUAAAAUUGAGAGGGGUGAAUUCUUGAUUAGCUUUUAGGGGAUGAGAGCUUUUCCGUCUACUACAUGCACGUGUACAUAUACAUGUGCAUGUAUAUGAUGUGAUAACCUCAUAAAAAAGCUUAUGGGGUAAUUUUUGGACAAGAAUAAUGUUAAAAUACCAUACGUGUUUUUAAAUUUCUUUUGGUGCUUCUAUUCUACAGGGAAUAUACAAUAAAAUUAUCACAAAUAUAAACUUGCACAAUGUACAUGUCUAUCACAAAUAUACAAUUACUAAUUGUUGCGGUAAUGGUAUCCAUGUAAUAUAUAUAUAUCAAUUUUUACCGCCAAUUGUUUGUUGCGGUAAAAUACUCUCUCGCAUUUCCUGAUUUAAGUGAAUCACCCUUAACUAAAAAAUCAUUUAUAUAAAAACUUGUAAGCUCUUAAAUACAAACAAACAAAGAAAUGCGAAAAUGCUUCUAGCCGAACCCUAGAAUCAAGUAUGAUGCAUCUAUCAGAUUCUACUCAUUCCAACAUGAGAAAAAACAAACUGCAUCUAUCAGAUCAGAAAACGAGAAAUCAAACAACAUUAGUCCAACGAUCACCAAAAGUUGAUAAAAGUUUGAAACCGAAAAUUCAAGAUACGUCCGAGAUUGAUUACAAGUAAUCAGCUACAAACGACGAUCAUCCAAGAUGCCUGAAAAUACUGUUGUAUUUUCACAUCUAAUAUGCAUUACCACCAAAAACACAAAAAUUCCCGUAAGUGUAAAGCUCAGAAAAUCAUCUAUCGUUUCUGGGAAAGAAAAAAAAAAAAGAAAAAGUAAAGCUCAGAAAAUGAGAAACAAGCUGUUUUCGUAUUAAUCCCUUCCUCCACAUCCUUGUACCCCUGUUCCUGCUCCACUCUCUGGCUCCAUUUCUUCCUCCUCGUGCUGCUGGAUCUCUACGGCUCCACAAGCUGGGACCUCCUCGGCUUAACGUCUUCCUCCUGCAGGAACAUCCGCAGCCUCGUCUCGCCCUGCUCCUGCUCCAGCUAAUUGAACCUUCCCUCCUCCAACCUCCUGCUGCAACUGCCUGUCCCUGUAUCAAGACCAAGAGCGCUUAUUACAUAGCACAACACAUGAAAACAAUAGAUUAGUAAGGUCUAUUACAUGACGUUGGACCGGAGGCGUUAAGAUCCACUGUGCUUCUGGAUCAGCAGCGCCAUCAGGCCGCAUAUUACACGCCCCAGUUUUAUAGUGUGGACAGUAUAUCAAACGGCAGCCUUGAAAGUUAACUGGAACUAUCCGCUCAUCCCCCUUCGCGAGGCACCUGAAGUAGUAUUUUCUACCCCACCCAAAAACCAAGAACAAUCCAUGCCCAAACUCUACGGCAGCAAACAUUAGUGGAUAUAACACUGACUUUUCAAACCCAUGUUCAGUUUGCUUGGUUAUGAAAUCAACCAAAGCAAAGCAGACAUGAACGCACCAGAAGCCUAUCCCAAGUAUCCCGAGAGCGUCGCCCCACUUAGACCCAUCCCCAGCAUACCCUACAGGAAUGCACUUACGCCUUCGUUUAAACUCAACUCCUUCGCUUCGGCCCAGGAGGCGAUAGCUAAAAAUCGACCAAGCCCACCCAGCCAAAGCCACUAGAAGGGCAACCAAUGCAGGUAUCUUCCGAUUUUCCCUGUACACGGCGGAUACUUCUGCUCCCAGCCCUAAAAUGGCGGGGGCAAGCUGAAUGAAGAGGUGAUUUUUGGUGGGUAGAUAGACCGACCUAAAUCAGUCCUCUCCGAGAUGAGGUGAGGUAUCUUUGUUUGUCCGAAAUGGAUGGCGGGGCUUCUCCCCUGAGAUCACUCCGACGAUCAAGUUAGUAUGAGAACGAGAAAAAUAGUAGUAUAUGAGAAUGAACAGUGUGCUUACUUGUUAAGAGUGCCUGGGGAGUAUUUAUAGAGUGUGAGUAAAAGGUAGGACGGGGGCUCAUGCUGGUGGGACCCACAUCCUGGUAUUACGGCUCUGUUCCCUGUCAGGAGGUCUGACUCUGACACUGUAGCCGCCUGGGCAGGGUGACGGGGAGCCUGACGUAGUAGCCAUUAAAAGCAUCCGGUACUUUUCAGAUAAAGCACUGGCUCUGGACAAUGUCAAAGGUGUUGACAUCAUUAGCGUGCAGCUGAGGUGGAAACUUGAUGAGCAGAGACUGCCUACGUGGUAGACUAGGGACCCGGUCGAGCUCAGAGGUCGUGCUCAGGUCAUGAUUACGCUCUGAUGAGAGAAGAAAUGGGUUCACCUCGGCCUUGCGGGGUGACCGAGGUGAGCAUCCUCAGUAUCAAAUGCUGUGGACUCAAUAUGGAAUUAGCCCUUCCUCAAAAGCUUCAAUACUAAUAAUAAUGAUAAUAAUAAUAAUAAUAAUACGAGUCAUUAAUAAAUAAAAUUGGCACCUUAUACAAAUUUUCAUGCGAACAAUACAAGUCAUUGUGCAUUUGAAGUGUAAAAUUGAGAGGGGUGAAUUCUUGAUUAGCUUUUAGGGGAUGAGAGCUUUUCCGUCUACUACAUGCACGUGUACAUAUACAUGUGCAUGUAUAUGAUGUGAUAACCUCAUAAAAAAGCUUAUGGGGUAAUUUUUGGACAAGAAUAAUGUUAAAAUACCAUACGUGUUUUUAAAUUUCUUUUGGUGCUUCUAUUCUACAGGGAAUAUACAAUAAAAUUAUCACAAAUAUAAACUUGCACAAUGUACAUGUCUAUCACAAAUAUACAAUUACUAAUUGUUGCGGUAAUGGUAUCCAUGUAAUAUAUAUAUAUCAAUUUUUACCGCCAAUUGUUUGUUGCGGUAAAAUACUCUCUCGCAUUUCCUGAUUUAAGUGAAUCACCCUUAACUAAAAAAUCAUUUAUAUAAAAACUUGUAAGCUCUUAAAUACAAACAAACAAAGAAAUGCGAAAAUGCUUCUAGCCGAACCCUAGAAUCAAGUAUGAUGCAUCUAUCAGAUUCUACUCAUUCCAACAUGAGAAAAAACAAACUGCAUCUAUCAGAUCAGAAAACGAGAAAUCAAACAACAUUAGUCCAACGAUCACCAAAAGUUGAUAAAAGUUUGAAACCGAAAAUUCAAGAUACGUCCGAGAUUGAUUACAAGUAAUCAGCUACAAACGACGAUCAUCCAAGAUGCCUGAAAAUACUGUUGUAUUUUCACAUCUAAUAUGCAUUACCACCAAAAACACAAAAAUUCCCGUAAGUGUAAAGCUCAGAAAAUCAUCUAUCGUUUCUGGGAAAGAAAAAAAAAAAAGAAAAAGUAAAGCUCAGAAAAUGAGAAACAAGCUGUUUUCGUAUUAAUCCCUUCCUCCACAUCCUUGUACCCCUGUUCCUGCUCCACUCUCUGGCUCCAUUUCUUCCUCCUCGUGCUGCUGGAUCUCUACGGCUCCACAAGCUGGGACCUCCUCGGCUUAACGUCUUCCUCCUGCAGGAACAUCCGCAGCCUCGUCUCGCCCUGCUCCUGCUCCAGCUAAUUGAACCUUCCCUCCUCCAACCUCCUGCUGCAACUGCCUGUCCCUGUAUCAAGACCAAGAGCGCUUAUUACAUAGCACAACACAUGAAAACAAUAGAUUAGUAAGGUCUAUUACAUGACGUUGGACCGGAGGCGUUAAGAUCCACUGUGCUUCUGGAUCAGCAGCGCCAUCAGGCCGCAUAUUACACGCCCCAGUUUUAUAGUGUGGACAGUAUAUCAAACGGCAGCCUUGAAAGUUAACUGGAACUAUCCGCUCAUCCCCCUUCGCGAGGCACCUGAAGUAGUAUUUUCUACCCCACCCAAAAACCAAGAACAAUCCAUGCCCAAACUCUACGGCAGCAAACAUUAGUGGAUAUAACACUGACUUUUCAAACCCAUGUUCAGUUUGCUUGGUUAUGAAAUCAACCAAAGCAAAGCAGACAUGAACGCACCAGAAGCCUAUCCCAAGUAUCCCGAGAGCGUCGCCCCACUUAGACCCAUCCCCAGCAUACCCUACAGGAAUGCACUUACGCCUUCGUUUAAACUCAACUCCUUCGCUUCGGCCCAGGAGGCGAUAGCUAAAAAUCGACCAAGCCCACCCAGCCAAAGCCACUAGAAGGGCAACCAAUGCAGGUAUCUUCCGAUUUUCCCAGUACACGGCGGAUACUUCUGCUCCCAGCCCUAAAAUGGCGGGGGCAAGCUGAAUGAAGAGGUGAUUUUUGGUGGGUAGAUAGACCGACCUAAAUCAGUCCUCUCCGAGAUGAGGUGAGGUAUCUUUGUUUGUCCGAAAUGGAUGGCGGGGCUUCUCCCCUGAGAUCACUCCGACGAUCAAGUUAGUAUGAGAACGAGAAAAAUAGUAGUAUAUGAGAAUGAACAGUGUGCUUACUUGUUAAGAGUGCCUGGGGAGUAUUUAUAGAGUGUGAGUAAAAGGUAGGACGGGGGCUCAUGCUGGUGGGACCCACAUCCUGGUAUUACGGCUCUGUUCCCUGUCAGGAGGUCUGACUCUGACACUGUAGCCGCCUGGGCAGGGUGACGGGGAGCCUGACGUAGUAGCCAUUAAAAGCAUCCGGUACUUUUCAGAUAAAGCACUGGCUCUGGACAAUGUCAAAGGUGUUGACAUCAUUAGCGUGCAGCUGAGGUGGAAACUUGAUGAGCAGAGACUGCCUACGUGGUAGAGUAGGGACCCGGUCGAGCUCAGAUGUCGUGCUCAGGUCAUGAUUACGCUCUGAUGAGAGAAGAAAUGGGUUCACCUCGGCCUUGCGGGGUGACCGAGGUGAGCAUCCUCAGUAUCAAAUGCUGUGGACUCAAUAUGGAAUUAUCCCUUCCUCAAAAGCUUCAAUACUAAUAAUAAUGAUAAUAAUAAUAAUAAUAAUACGAGUCAUUAAUAAAUAAAAUUGGCACCUUAUACAAAUUUUCAUGCGAACAAUACAAGUCAUUGUGCAUUUGAAGUGUAAAAUUGAGAGGGGUGAAUUCUUGAUUAGCUUUUAGGGGAUGAGAUCUUUUCCGUCUACUACAUGCACGUGUACAUAUACAUGUGCAUGUAUAUGAUGUGAUAACCUCAUAAAAAAGCUUAUGGGGUAAUUUUUGGACAAGAAUAAUGUUAAAAUACCAUACGUGUUUUUAAAUUUCUUUUGGUGCUUCUAUUCUACAGGGAAUAUACAAUAAAAUUAUCACAAAUAUAAACUUGCACAAUGUACAUGUCUAUCACAAAUAUACAAUUACUAAUUGUUGCGGUAAUGGUAUCCAUGUAAUAUAUAUAUAUCAAUUUUUACCGCCAAUUAUUUGUUGCGGUAAAAUACUCUCUCGCAUUUCCUGAUUUAAGUGAAUCACCCUUAGCUAAAAAAUCAUUUAUAUAAAAACUUGUAAGCUCUUAAAUACAAACAAACAAAGAAAUGCGAAAAUGCUUCUAGCCGAACCCUAGAAUCAAGUAUGAUGCAUCUAUCAGAUUCUACUCAUUCCAACAUGAGAAAAAACAAACUGCAUCUAUCAGAUCAGAAAACGAGAAAUCAAACAACAUUAGUCCAACGAUCACCAAAAGUUGAUAAAAGUUUGAAACCGAAAAUUCAAGAUACGUCCGAGAUUGAUUACAAGUAAUCAGCUACAAACGACGAUCAUCCAAGAUGCCUGAAAAUACUGUUGCAUUUUCACAUCUAAUAUGCAUUACCACCAAAAACACAAAAAUUCCCGUAGGUGUAAAGCUCAGAAAAUCAUCUAUCGUUUCUGGGAAAGAAAAAAAAAAGAAAAAGUAAAGCUCAGAAAAUGAGAAACAAGCUGUUUUCGUAUUAAUCCCUUCCUCCUCAUCCUUGUACCCCCGUUCCUGCUCCACUCUCUGGCUCCAUUUCUUCCUCCUCGUGCUGCUGGAUCUCUACGGCUCCACAAGUUGGGACCUCCUCGGCUUCACGUCUUCCUCCUGCAGGAACAUCCGCAGCCUCGCCUCGCCCUGCUCCUGUUCCAGCUAAUUGAACCUCCCCUCCUCCAACCUCCUGCUGCAACUGCCUGUCCCUGUAUCAAGACCAAGAGCGCUUAUUACAUAGCACAACACAUGAAAACAAUAGAUUAGUAAGGUCUAUUACAUGACGUUGGACCGGAGGCGUCAAGAUCCACUGUGCUUCUGGAUCAGCAGCACCAUCAGGCCGCAUAUUACACGCCCCAGUUUUAUAGUGUGGACAGUAUAUCAAACGGCAGCCUUGAAAGUUAACUGGAACUAUCCGCUCAUCCCCCUUCGCGAGGCACCGGAAGUAGUAUUUUCUACCCCACCCAAAAACCAAGAACAAUCCAUGCCCGAACUCUACGGCAGCAAACAUUAGUGGAUAUAACACUGACUUUUCAAACCCAUGUUCAGUUUGCUUGGUUAUGAAAUCAACCAAAGCAAAGCAGACAUGAACGCUCCAGAAGCCUAUCCCAAGUAUCCCGAGAGCGUCGCCCCACUUAGACCCAUCCCCAGCAUACCCUACAGGAAUGCACUUACACCUUCGUUUAAACUCAACUCCUUCGCUUCGGCCCAAGAGGCGAUAGCUAAAAAUCGACCAAGCCCACCCAGCCAAAGCCACUAGAAGGGCAACCAAUGCGGGUAUCUUCCGGUUUUCCCAGUACACGGCGGAUACUUCUGCUCCCAGCCCUAAAAUGGCGGGGGCAAGCUGAAUGAAGAGGUGAUUUUUGGUGGGUAGAUAGACCGACCUAAAUCAGUCCUUUCUGAGAUGAGGUGAGGUAUCUUUGUUUGUCCGAAAUGGAUGGCGGGGCUUCUCCCCUGGGAUCACUCCGACGAUCAAGUUAGUAUGAGAACGGGAAAAUAGUAGUAUAUGAGAAUGAACAGUGUGCUUACUUGUUAAGAGUGCCUGGAGAGUAUUUAUAGAGUGGAAGUAAAAGGUAGGACGGGGGCUCAUGCUGGUGGGACCCACAUCCUGGUAUUACGGCUCUGUUCCCUGUCAGGAGGUCUGACUCUGACACUGUAGCCGCCUGGGCAGGGUGACGGGGAGCUUUACGUAGUAGCCAUUAAAAGCAUCCGGUACUUUUCAGAUAAAGCACUGGCUCUGGACGAUGUCAAAGGUGUUGACAUCAUUAGCGUGCAGCUGAGGUGGAAACUUGAUGAGCAGAGACUGCCUACGUGGUAGACUAGGGACCCGGUCGAGCUCAGGGGUCGUGCUCAGGUCAUGAUUACGCUCUGAUGAGAGAAGAAAUGGGUUCACCUCGGCCUUGCGGGGUGACCGAGGUGAGCAUCCUCACUGAAAGACGAAGAAGUAUAUAUUCAGCCGAUCUUGAAGGAAAACCCAGAAAAAAAAAAGAAGAAAGAAGAAAAAGAACGAUGAUUCAUCAAAAGCUUGGAAAACUAUACCUGAGGAAGAAACCGCGUCUCACACUUCAUCGUCAAGAAAUGAAGAAAAUGUCGUGCCUUGCCUGUAGACCCCCCAGAAUCAGAGAUUUGUCUGUUCUGGAAAAGUUGGGUUCUCUUGUAUGCUUUCUCAGGCACCUCAAAGCUGGUAUUUAAUGUCCGGGGCUAGGACACGCGUCUUACUGUGCUUCGUUCUUUUCUUUUUUCUUUUUUUUUUUUUGAUAAGGGAAAAUCCUUGCAUUGCAAAUCAGCAAUAGCGGCCUCAGUAACCGGCUUGGGGAAAUUUACAAACCAGACCCUACUUCCCUCAAAAGAUAACGUUAACUUAGACAUGAUGUGAGCGGGGACAUUAUUGGUCCUCCUCACAUGACUAACCUUAACAGAAUCAAAAGAAUGCAGCAUGGUCCUGAUGCCUUGGAAUAAGUUGCCCAUCAAUGACAAAUCAGGUUCCUUGCUAUUAAUCUUUUGAACAAUAUUUAAUGCAUCCCCUUCCUUCUUUUCUUAAAUCCAUAAUUUGUUAUGGAUUUAAACCAUCAUGGGUUUGAAUUCACCCAAUGAUAAAUAAAGUAAAGUGGUUGGUUACUGGUGAGGAAAAUCCAUAAUUUUUCAAACCAAGAAUAAAGGCCUUGUUUGGCAGACAAGUUUUUUGUUAAGUUUGUUUGUUAUAAGUUUUUUAAAAAUUUUAGAUACAAUAACCUCAAAAAUUUUCUCAAAAUUUUUAAACUAUACAUUUCAAAAUAUUCAAAAAUUUACACACUUCAAAAAAUUUUUUAAAAACUUUUACAGUAAAUUACAGUAAAAUUUUAGACAAACACUCAAACAACUCACUUGUCAAACGAGACAGAUCAAUCCAAUAUACAUCUUGGUAUUGAUAAAACCGAUUUAUAUCCAAUUUUUAAAAAAAUCUUAAAAUAGUUUGAGAAUAAAUAUUAAAUUUGAUUUCUAAAUUUCCAAUUACUAGCCGAAUUAUCAUCGAAUUUUAUGUUAGAUAGGAUAUUAUAUACUAUUUAAUAAUAUCACAUACUGAUAUUAAAUUCAUUCUUGAGCCUUAAUUUAUUUUAAAUCAAUUUUUUUUACUUGCUUCUAGAGUUUUAAGUAUUAUGGAAUUACGGGUUAUUCAGUCGAAAUUCGAUUAUUAAUAUUUAAUUUACCGAAUUAAACUUUAAACUGUAAUUAAAGAAAACCAAAGAUUUUUUUUUUAAAAAAAUCGUUAUGGAUUACUUGGCGAUGGGCACUCCUCAUUUUCCAAUUAUUCGUUGCACUCCGCUGGUCUGUAACCUUUUUUGUAUUGCUCCUUUAGCAGCUGUAGUUGGCGCGAAGGUCAAAGUCAAACCGGAGAAGCGAAACUAAUACUACUAUUAUAGUAUUAUCAUCAGUAUGGCAUCGGCAGUGGUAACAGUCGCAGUCGACGACGGCGAAGCUACGCCACUACUGCAGGGUGCUUCAGAUGACUUUCCGAGGAGGAGAGAAUCAUCGGCGAUUAGAGGAGGAGGAGGCGGAGGAGGAGAGAUCACCGCUUCAGUCUCUGCGGAGGAGCCUGACAGUAACGACGGGUCAACACCACCCGUGGCAACCGCACCAAAACAACGCCUUGUGUCUCUCGACGUUUUCCGC
rnacentral:lncRNA from 1 species